AACGGGGUCCGAGUUUGGCAAGCCAAUUGAACGAGAGACCAAGUUCAGUCUAUCCUGGCGUUCUUCGUGCAAAAUGAAACUGAAUCAAAAAAAGUGAUUCCUCCAAAAGUGCUUCCAUGACGCGUUAUUCUCUUCUCAUCGGCGUCCAUUCAUCAUCAACCUUGAAUCCAUGGUGUUUCGACACAAACAGCAAGAAGAGAUUGAAUCCAAUAGCAAUUUGUCUGUCUCGGCCUUGCGUUCUUCAACCGUGCUUCCGAUAUUCGUGAUUCACGUUGUUCAAACACUAAUCCGGUGAUUUCAAUGUUCGAAGAAUCACAGUUCAAAUCUCUUUAUUAUCGUCGACAUAAACGGAAGAAAGAAGGAAAGGUGUCAAAUGCAACUCGAAAAACUCACUGAAUCUAGCAGGUAUCGAGUAUGAACUUUUUUCCCGCUUCGGUUUUGGAUUGCUUCUUCUUCUCCCUCUACACAACUGUUGCGCAUCUUCUUGCAUCCUGCGUGAUCGAUUUGUUGUUGAAUCUCCUUCUGCUAUGAGUGUUUGAUGAAUCGCUUUUGGUGGAUUCGUUGUGGAUGGGUUGAUGAAGAGUGAAGAGUAUUGGUGAAAAAAAUGGAACUCGCGAGAGCUUUUGAGUGGAGAAGAUGAUGGAUGAUUUAUAGGGAUUGAAGCUUUAGCAGAGUUAGGAUUCUGUUAGCAUCACUAGGCUCAAGUUGGUUAGAGGUUCUAAUGUCGUUAGUUGAUCCGUUAAAUCUGGUUAGCUUUUAGUGCAGUUAAAGUAUGAAUUUGAAGUGAAGUUGAACUUUGAAAUGCAAGUCACAUUUUCAAUUCUGUUUGCUGCGUUUUUGCUUAUGUCGUUUUCUACUUUUCAUUGUCGUUUGGAUACGCUUAUACGUCAUUUACUAUUGUGUUUAGCUGAGUUAUGGUCGUUGUUUUGAACGUGUUUGGUACUGCAGCACUUCUGUCAUUGCAACGCGAUUUUCUGUUGUGUUUGAUUGUAUUGGUUUUUACUGCGUUCCCGCUGCGUUUUAAUUGUUUGAUGCCGCCGUUCAUGCUGUUGAGUUUUAUAGUUGCAGCUUCUGUUUUAGCUCGAUUGGCGCACGUGGCUUAUGCAGCUCUCGUUUUCGUCGUCUUGGCUUUAACUGGAAAUCGCAGCUCGUGUUUUGGUUCAUGGUUCUGGAGUUGCUGUUGCAUUUUGAAUUUCAUCUUGCAUCUUCAUUUUGGUGUUGUUGGUUAUGGCUCGCAUUUGGAAGCUGAAUUUUCCGUUUUGCUUUGUCGUUUAUGCUUGUACGCUUCCAUGUUGUUGCUGAUGUAGUACUUGCUGCAGGAUGCCAACAUGGAUAAUUGAUAUGUUCCCAAAGUGGAUAAUGACUUUGGAAAUGGUUAAUUAUGGAUAAUGGAUUUAGAACUGGUUUUAAAUGGAUAUUGGACUUGGAUGGGUUUUAAAUGGAUAAAGGAUUUGGAAAUGGUUAAUUAUGAAAUUAGUUGGUUAAUUUGGUUAAUUGGAUUAAAUGGAUUUGGAUUGGAUGUUAAAAUGGAUAUCAAUUAAUUGGAUUUUCGGAUUUGGAGUUAUGAAUAAAAAUGGAUUUGGAUUGGCUUAUGAAUUAACAUGGCCCAUUAGUGAAAUUAAAAGAAAAUUCUAAUAACUAAAAUAAAAUGUCAAGAUUAACUUGUGACUAAAACAAUGUUUUCUAAAAUAAUUGGCUAAAGAAACAAUGAUGAGAUAUUUUCCCAACAUCAAACUAAAAUCUCCAAAGUCGACUUGAAUCUUAAGAACCAAAUUUUGAAUUAAAUCAAAUUUGAACCUUUAAAAUCCAUUCACAACUUCUAGAAUUAAUUCGAAACCGUUGAAAUGAUUGUGGACCAUGUGAUUAAGGAUUUAGAGGUUGACGAUUGACUUUGGUCAACUGGUUGACCAAAAAGUCAAUAGUUGAUCAAAAGUCAACCCAGGUAAAAACAUAUAUUUUCUAAUAAAAAAACGAAUAUGGUCUAGAACAUUCUGAACCAACGACUUAUGUAAAUGCCAUGAAUCAAACCAGGUGAAUGUCCACCAAACAACAGGUCAUGCACAAGAUCCUUGACUAGCAAGGUCAUGAACUAGGAUUUCAACCCGUAUGAUGUGAAAUGCCAUAAACUUCAAUCCAACUCCAAUUUUAUCUACUAUAAACCCUGAAUCCAUGAUACAUGUCAGCUGAUGUUAAUCAUGAAUGAAUGAAUGCACAUAAAUGAGCAUGAAUGAAGUUAGAUGGUUAUCAAGUUAUAGUCAGAUGAAAAAGCGAAAAGGAGGGAAAAUUUUGGGAUAUGACAGUUGCCCCUGUUUAAUCUCCUCGGACCUGAAGGUAUGAAUAGCAACCGUUUUUAAACCUUCAUGGUAAGAGAGGAUUAAAUACCCAAAAUAAUCGAGAAAUUUGCCCGCAGGAAAUGAAUGAAAUGAAUGAGAUGUAGGGUAAAUGGUAUUGAUGGAAAGAUGCUCAGUGAGAUGUUUUAUUAAGUUAUGCAUGCUAUAUGUAAAAUGCUAUGUAUGUUGAUCUCUUUUUUGUGUCUUUCUUUGUAUUUAUCAUUCUUUUCUUUUUCUUUUCUCUUUUUCUUGCCUCCACUAACGAGUUUUGGCUUGAAAUCGAUAAUCGAUGUAUUCCCGCAAGAUUCCGUGAAGGUAAAAAGAACCACGUGUUUGCAAAAGGCAAGUACCAACUGAUAAGAACUGAACUGGGGUCUUCUGCAAAAGGCAGUCAACUCAACUGAAAAACAAACUUCUCGUACAAUAGGUAGCAACGACUCCUUAGCAAGAGAGUCAGAAGUUUCCUUGAUGCAGUUAAGAAAAAAGGCAGACAGACUUUCUCACACAAAAGGUGAUGAGGAUUCCUCGAUGAAAGGAUAAGAAGGAGAGUUGAGGUCCACACAAACGAGUGAGGGAUACCAAAACAAACGAGUAUCAAGAGUGGUUUAACAACACGGAUGAGCGUUGAGAUUAACACAAACGAGUAUCGGAAAAAGGAUAAGACAGGCGAGUGUUGGAGAUCUAGACACAGACGAGUAGCAUAGAUCAACACAGACGAGCGUUAAGGAUCAAAAUAGACGAGUAUGAAAAAGAAGGCAUCAACAUGGACGGGUGUUAAGAUCAAUACGGACGAGUAUUGAAGAGAGAAGGCCAACGCGGAUGAGUGUCAAAAGAUGGUGACUUCACUAGGGAUCAAUACCAACGAGUACUGAAAAAGAAGACCAACACGGACGAGUGUUGAAGGUCAAUACGGAAGGGUAUCGAAAAAGGACCAACACGGACAAGUGUUGAUGCCUAACACGGACGAGUAUUGCACAUCAAUACGGGCGAGUAUUAAAAAUCAAUAUGGACAAGUAUUGGAAGAAGUAAUGAUUAACACAGACGAGUGUCGGGGAUGACGUCCUCCCCAGGGAUCAAUGCGAACGAGCAUUGAAAGCAUACAGGAGGGACCUCCCAGGAAAACGGCAGGGGACCACUUACGAAAGGUAAGUGAUUGGUCAAAGACUCCCAGGGUAUCUAUAAAAGGCAACACAAAGGAGAUAUUUCAAAAAACCUGCAGGGAAUACCAUUCCAAGGUUUCAUGAUAGCGUUCUCACUGGGGAGGAAGAAUGUCUUAACGGAAGAUUCUUGUAUGAUUUCGUGAAAGGCUUUCAUGUAGUUAUGCAUGUUUAUUUGGCGUAAUGCUCCAUCUCGAGGGAAUACGAUACGCGCUUAACUAUACAAUGUUAUGUAAUGAAUGAUUAUUUAUGCGAGAUGUUGAUGCAGUUUAUGCAAUGGUCGGGAUGUAUUUGAGUAUACCAAGUGUGGUUGGGCUUUUGGUAAGGCUUUUGUGGGGCUCUGACUUCAAAGGUUUAUGAAAUAACAAUUGUCCUUGUCAAAGGGUUGACUGAAAAGGAAGGUCGUCAUCAAAGGGUUGAUGAGACAACAAUUGUCAUCGCCAAAGGGUAGACGAAUAAGAACCUCGUCAAAGGGUUGACGCAAAAGGAAUGUCUUCAUAAAAGGGUUGAUGAAAAGGGGUGUUUAAGUAAUAUCAUCAUCAAAGGGUUGAUGGCGUCAUCAAAGGGUUGAUGAAAGGACUGUCGUCAUCAUAGAGUUGAUGGGACCACAACUGUUAUCGUCAAAGGGUUGACGCAAAAGGAAUAUCGUCAUCAAAAAGCUGAUGGGAAGAUAAUUUGGCAUUGUCUAAGGGUUGACGAAAGGGGAUACCUCCAUCAAAGGGUUGAUCGAGAGUGGAAUGUCAUCAUCAAAGAGUUGAUGGAAAAGGUGCUUAGGUAAUAUCAUCAUCAAAGGGUUGAUGACAUCAUCAAAGGGUUGAUGACAUCAUCAAAGGGUUGAUGGAGGAUAGUCACCAUCAAAGGGUUGAUGGAAAAUGCUUGAUUUUGUAUGCAUAUGAUGCAAUCUUCUCGUCUCGGUGAGAGAGCUUUUUUUGAUAUGGAACUUCCUACCUCGAAAAGAAAAUCAUGCAUGUAUGUUGUAUGCAAUGCAUUUGGAAAUGCGAGCUGGUGAUUAGUUUUUUUAUUGGUCUCCCUUUUCUGAGGGUGAGAUCUUUUGGGUACCAAUAUGGAUUGGAUUUGAAUUUAUGAUGAUGCCAGCAAAGUGGGAUUUGGUUUUUUGGUAGUUGCCAAUAGGGAUUAGACUUGUGGUUUAGGAAAGGAUUUGACUUCCCGACACUCGAUGUUUGAAUAUGUUAUGAUUAGAGGAUAGAUGUGGAUGCUCUUGGUGCCCCAAGUUUGAUCCUCGGUUGAAGUUGUGUCUUUGUUCCCAAGAGAACUUCCACUUCUCUGCCUGAUAUAUCAUGACAACUUGCAAAUGGUUUCACGAGCAUAGCAACGUAAUCAAUGCAAAAUGAUCAUGCUCUUGCUCUGCCCCAGUUUGUGAAUCUGCAGUGGUCUACCUUUGCCUAAGCUCUUGAAGGAAUUGCCCCUGAUUAACUAAGUAUUGAUGACUUAUCUCCCUAAUCCAUGAUGCUUGGAGAUUUGUUUCAGACUAUCCAACUCUUAGGUCAACACAGUCAUUGGAUGCCAUGCCCCUUAUCCAUUGGGUUGUGAGGUAGUCUUGACUCGGGAUAGCCUCGGUCUCGACAAACGUUCAAGCUCUUUUCUGACUGAUCUUUGGAAUCUCCUAGAUGUCAAGUAUUGACUUGCAGUUAAAAUUGUUCAUUUAACAAUGAUAAUUUUAAUAUGACAUUCAUGCAAGUUAUUUUUUAAGAAUCCUUUAUUUGAGAUGAUUUUGUGACAAGUGACGAAUGGACCAUUAGUCCAAAUGUAAUGUUGGUUUGGAUAACAUGAAAGAUACAUUGAAAACAUGAUAUCAACACAAAAGAUUAGCAAAAUAUCUAGGAGUCGGUUUACACAACCUUGCUGCAGUAAGCUUUUCAGAAUAAACCCUGCUUCAAUUAGGUCUUUUGAGGGUUGUAACGUGGUCUGGUUCACGGUUAUCGAAACAAAGGAUAUAAAGCUCAAAUUCGAUUUUAACCCACCCCUUCUUCUUGAUGUUCUCCAGUCCUACGUUCAGCUAAUUCACCAUAUGCAUUCGUCCUCCAAGAGAAUUUGACGUUGUAAGAAUGAAGGUGAUGAUUCAAGAUUCGCUUGAGAUGGCAGUCACUUUAUUUUCCAUGGAUGUCAGUGACCUUUGGAUUCCUGAUAUGAUGGUUACCUUAUUUUUCUUUGCCUUGAUUGAGGAUUUAACGACCUUUCUUUGAUUCUUUCUUUUUGUUUCUCCCUAAUUUUUUCCUGGACUAUUCUUUCGAAAUUUUUGGUCCACCGGGAUUACCCUAAUUUUUGCCUAAGUCACACCUUUGGGGGUCCGACUUAACGGGUUUUUUCUUUUUUCCUUUUUUUCAAUUAUUCUAAGGGUUGUGACUAACAAGUCAUUGGUUGUUGAAGAACCACCAUCAUAGCUUUUGGAAUUUUCAUGGUUCUUUAGACACUUCUAGGUGUGUGCGAAAAACAUCAUGUGGUUGAUCUCUAGACGAGAUAUUUUGUCUUGUAAUCUGAAUGCAUAGUCGAAUCAACUGAACACUACCAUUCCCCUGGUUAAGCCUAAGGGUUUUUAGAUCCGAAAGAAACACCUACUUCUAGGCUCAAAGUGGUUAACUAGGGAUUAAUUCCUUAUCUCUCCAAUGUUUGGGGAUUUGAAACAAUGCUUGUACAUCAUCAGCAAGGCUUCAUCCGAAAGCAUACAAUCAAGCAAUUAUUUGUAUCUUGUUUUCGUUAUCCUCCUUCCAAUAUUUGCUAAAACAAUAGUUUAAUAAAGCAAAUGGAAAGCUAUUUUUGUGAUUUUUGAAGAUAAAUGGGAAAAGAAGAUUGAAUACGAAUGGAUUCGUUCAAAACAUGCAUGCACAAUUAAUACCACAAUUUAUAAACAAUAAUGUUUAAAAGAAAGUAGCACUUAACAAUAAAGAAACUGUAAAUGCUAAGUAAUGAUGUGAUCUAAGGAUUGUCAGUGUUGGGGAACUGGGCUUUCCUCUUUCGCUUUGUUGUCGGGCUAGUCUUCUUCAUAGUUGCUCGUCGAGACCAAUACGAGGAAUAACAUGCACUGAUGGACCCUCAUGACCAGGUGAAUGAUUAUUGUUGAUUUGAAGACCUCGAGGCACAAAUGAGAACAUCUUGGAGUCGAGCAAUUUUCGUACCUGGCUUUUCAUCACUUUACAGUCUUCAGUUGAAUACCCAUGUGCCCUAGCAUGGAAGUCACAUCAGGCAUUGACGUCGAAGCCUGGUGGGUCUGGAGGAAUCACUGAAUGCAAUUCCUUUGGCACUAUCAAUCCAUCUUUAAUCAAAUACGGUAGUACUUGACUGUACGAUAUUGGAAGUAGAUCAAAAUGCCUUACUGGCUUUCUCAGUCUUUGUCGAGUGUAUUGGCAUUGUUGAUCUGGAGUUUGUCAUUGAUACCAAGGGGAUAUUCGGUCUUCACGAGGGGAUUGACCUUGUGGAGGGAGUGGCGUCUGAUAUGGAGCCGGUGAAGCUUCCCAGAUUGCAUUGAUUUCCAUCUCCUCCCGUUCUUGGGAACUGACAAGGGAUUCACUCUCACUAGCCUGGAUGUUCGAGACGUCUUGGAUCUUUCCACUUUUGAGCAUGCUCUCGAUGUGUAUUCCAACUAACACCAAGUGAGAAAAAUCAGGUGAAGUAUUUCCUAUCAUCCUUUCGUAGUACGGACCUUGCAAGGUAUCCAUGAAUAAGUCAACCAAUUUUUUCUCUAGAAGUGGUGGUUGAACUUGAGCAGCUAAUUCUCUCCAUCUUUGGGCAUAUCCUCUGAAGGAUUCAUUGCUUUCCUGAGAUAAACCUUGCAACUACAUACGGCUGAGAGCCAUGUCCAAAUUGUAUCUGUAUUGCAUCAAAGAGGCGUUAGCCAGGUCUAACCAUGAUUGGAUGUGGCACUUUUCUAGCUGCAUGUACCAACUCAAUGAUGCCCCGCUCAAGCUGUCCUGAAAAUAGUGAAUCAUUAGCUUAUCAUUGUGAGCAUAUGAAGUCAUUUUUCUGCAAAACAACACCAAAUGUUGCUUUGGACAGCUAUCCCCUUUGUACUUUUUGAAAUCCGGUGUCUUGAACUUUGGAGGCAUUAUCAGGCCAUGCACUAAACACAUGUCAGAAGCAUUCAGACCGAAAGCAUCAUGCCCCUCUAUGGCUUUAAGCUUCUCUUCUAACACCUGAAAUCCUUCAGCAACUGCCAUAUCUCGUGGAUCCUUGGUUUUAGUUACUGGGACUGCCCCUUGGGAAUUUUGUGCAGAGAAUGCAAAACUAUGAUACUCAAUAGCAUCGCAAGAGGAGUUUCCAUCUCGGACAAUGGGUCGCUCUUGUAUAACCUGGUCCUCGGCAAGGAUCUGCACAGGCUGAGUCUGAGCAAGAUUGUUUACUUGAGGCGGACUGACAUUCUCAGUGGCUACAGUCUGUUGAAUGUUUUCAUCUCUCCUUGCUAAGGCUGUCAUAGCUUCCACAAGUUGGUCCAACUGAUUCUUUAUCAAAUCAACAUCCGUUUUUGACGCAAACUGGUUUGGCUCCAUGAUCUUUCAAAUCCAAUACGAGUAUCAGGAAAUCAACUGCGGAUUAUGGAAAAAGGAUGGAUGAGCUUCGUUUUGUUAUAGUUUGGAAGAUGAUAUGCAAAAAUGAUACGUGGAUGCAUACGGAUUUUUUGUUUUGAUGUAUGAAUGAAUGAACGGACGACAUUCAGGCACAUGGAUUCAAAUGUUCGAGGUACGGAUGGAGGAUAACACUGAUUGCUUUCCACAUCAGAGAUCUCACUAGGUACGAUCUAGGGUUUUUAGAUAGGGACCCUAGAGUCAUCAAUUCAUUUGGCUAUUUGGCGCUUAUGGCAAAAGCUUGUCGGUCUUCAACUCCCUCUAAUGAACCUCUUUUGGGUGAGAUCUUCGUACCGACCCAUGCGAGAAAAGCUUCUCGGGGACCCGUACUACGUGACCGUCAAUCUUAAUUGGUCGAAGGUUCGAUGUUCUGUAAAGGUCCUUAGAGUCAUUGACCCUAAUAAAGACAUCGAUCGCUUACACUAAAAGCUUGACGGUCGUCAACGUUCUCCAAAAUAAUCUACUCUAAGCGAGGUUAUCGUAUCGACCCUUACGAGAAAAGCUUCUCGGUGGCCCAUACUACUCAACCUCUCAUAUCUCAAGUUUCCACUCUAGACUCGGGUAAAGAGUCUUUCCCACAAGGUUUCUUGCAAUCAAAGUAGUAUCCAUCAAUACCAUAAAAUCAUGGAACCAUGUAACAGAUAUUACAGAAUUUAAAGCGAAAGGCAAUAAAUAAGGCAAACAACCAAAAGGAUAAUCAUCCACGCACGCGAGGAAGCAACCUAGAUUUGGCUUCACUUGCUUAUCGAAAAAUACAGAGUCGCCAUCGGUUUUAAUUUAUUCCAAAGGAAAGGGAAAAUAUCGAGAAAACCCCUAAAGAAUGGUCGUCGCAACCACGAACAGGUUCGGAAUUCAGUUAUGCAAGGGGAAGGUAUUAGCACCCCUUGUAGGAGAAUUGCUAUCCAAGGCACAGCGGAAUUUAAAAAUUUCUCCAUUUAGUGAUCCUUACGAAUGAGCAUGAUCAGUGAUAGAAUCGUUACCUCUUGUGGCGAUUCAAACCUUUGGUGUAGAUCUCUGAUAAUGAUCAAAACCUUUGAUACAGAUCCACGGGGCGAUCACGAACGUUGAAUGAUGACAACGUCUCUACUCAGUCCACACGAACGGAUUCCUUCAAUCGCAGUGCAGUUGUUAUGAAUGAGGCUUUGAGUGAAAGAAAGAGGGAAACAAAAUUCCAAGUCUCUACUUGAAUUUCUGUCUGAGUGGAUUGGAGUAACAAUGCUUCUACCCAAGGGGUUCUAUUUAUAGAACCACUUGUGUGGGCUUCAAGCUAAAAAGCCCACUUAAGUGUAUUUUGGCCAUAUCUUAUAUAUGCCCAAAAUCACUUAAGUAUUUGGUACCUUACCAUAUUUCGUCUCCCACUUAAGUGCACCGUACCUUACGGUGUUCCUUAGUCUCUAUCUCUCAUCAAUCCGUCCUUUGGUGUGACCCUAUAGGUUUUCGCGGCGUUGGCAAUUAAAUUAAAUCACGCAUUUAACAUAAUAAACAGUGAGCGGUAUCUAGCAACACAUCACUGCUACCCAAGUCACGAAAAUGUCAUGUGAUCUGACAAAACCUCAUGUGAUAAUAAUUAUGUGUAUAAUUACCCCUUUGCCCUUAUGUCUAUAUUGAACACAAGGUAUGAACGUGUCACCUUGUCCAGUUAAUAUUGGGCCCAUAGACAUUUAUCCUGUUACGCAGGAUUGGCAAAUUCCAUCAUGGACACUCAUGUCCCUCAGCAUGCUUCGUGGAGUACUCAUCAACUGUCUUUUAUGGUCAUCCAGUUACGGAUAACGUUGGAUCAGCAAUAAAGCACUCAACUCUACAUCUAGGAUCCAUAGUGGUUUCAGGUCGAAGAGUGGUAUACACUAUUAUCACCAUGAGAAAUACUUAUGACACUUUGCAUAACUUUCUAUAUAGUAUCUCAUAGCGGGUCAAUCCGGUAUAAAUAUUACUCCUAAUAAUCAUACCUAUGUUUAAGACUUGAUAACUCUUUAUCCAUGAUCCAUGAGAUGUGAUCAUCAGUCUACAAACAUAAUAGUCUUAAUGCUUUAAUGUUAUCCCACUUCACAUUAAAGCUCGACUACGAUACUUUAAGAAUAGUGCCUUAUGUUUAAUGUGUUCUCAUGAUUAAGUCACACUUAAUACAUUAAACGGACUAUCUAUUCUAGGGACUUUAUUAAUCAAACAUAAUAAAGAAAAUGCCUUUUAUUAUUAAUAAAUAAUUCGAUACAAGUACCAAAAGUAUUGGCCUCUAGGGCUUACACCAACAAUCUCCACACUAGCACUAGAGCCAAUCAGACAUACCUCGUAUGCCAUUGAUCUAGUAUGGCCAUCAUGCUUCUGCUGCGCAGAGGCUUUGUCAGUGGGUCAGCUAUAUUGUCUAGUGUAGGUACUUUAUAUAUUUUCACACAACGCCUAAGUAUGUGUUUGGAUCGUUGGUGAGAUCUAGGCUCUUAGCUUGUGCGAUAACACAUUGUUAUCAUAAUAGAGACCAAUGGGAUCCACAAUGCUAGGGACAAUGCCAAGUUUAUUUAUCCAAACAGCUUCCUUUGUUGCACUUAAGGCAGCAAUAUGCCGGCCUCGUUGUAGAAUCAGCAACUGCAUCUUGCGUUGAACUUUUCAAGCUCACAGUUCCACCAUUUAGCAAAACACAUAACCAGAUUGGAAUCAUUCAUAUUAAAGCGUCUCAGCACUUUGUCUAUGUAUGUACUCUGACUUAGGCCAAGCAGUUUUGUGAUCUAUCUCUAUAGAUUCUGAUUCCUAAUAUAUAGGCUGCUUCACCUAGGUCCUUCAUAGAAAAGUAUUUCCCCAACCAAGACUUUACUUGUGCAGGGUAGGGAUAUCGAUUCCAAUAUUAAUAUGUCAUUUACAUAUAAUACCAGGAAUAUGAUCAUGCUCCCACUAACCUUCUUGUAGACACAAGUCUCAUCUUCGUUCUUGAUGAAUCCAUACAAUUUUACUGUUUCAUCAAAACGAAGAUUCCAUGAGUAGGUCACAGGCUCAUCUUGAUCCAUGAGUAAUACAUCACCUUGAUCAGAUAUCCAUAUAUCUCAGGUAGGUGACGUAUCCUGCCUGACCUACGCUGGUCUUGUUCUAUUUGAGCAGGUUGCUCUUACACAACUACUUGGUUUCCUGCUCUAAUUCCUCCAUAGGUGUAUCGAUUACUUUGUGAUUCUUGAAUUUCUUCAAGUUCUACUUCCUCCCACUGAUUCCUUUGGAAUAAAAAUCCCUUUCUAGGAAAACUUAAGUUCGAGCGACAAACACUUUGCCUCAGAAGCAUUGUAGAAAUAAUAUCCUCUGUUUCUUUAGGAUACCCACAAAUAAGCAUUUGUCAGAUUUGGGCUCAGCUUAGUUGAAAUUUGUCGUUUCACAUAAACUUCGCAACCCAAAUCUUCAUGUAAGACAUAUGUGGUCUCUUACCACUCCAUAUCUCAUAUGGUGUCUUAUCAACCUUUUUGAUGGAACACGGUUAAGUGUGUAAGCUGCGGUGAACAGCGCAUUGUCCCCAAAAGGAGUUUGGAAGAUCGGCUUGACUCAUCAUGGAUCGGACCAUGUCCAACAGGGUUCGAUUUCUUCUCUCGACAUACCAUUCCAUUGGGGUGUUCACAGGAGGAGUGAGUUGGAAUAGGAUCCCACACUCUUUCAGAUGGUCAUCAAACUCUAGGCUUAAAUAUCACCACCUUGAUCUGAUCGAAGAGCUUUAAUAUUCUUACCUAGUUGGUUUUGUACUUCAUUCUUGAAUUCUUUGAAACUUUUCAAAGGACUCUGAUUUGUGUUUCAUUAAAUACACAUAACCAUAUCUACUGAAAUCAUCAGUGAAUGUGAUGAAGUACUGAAAACCUCCUCUGGCUGAUAUGUUCAGUGGACCACAUACAUCAGUAUGUAUGAGGGCCAAAAGAAUCAUUUGCUCUUUCACCUUAUCCUGUGAAUGGAGACUUUGUCAUCUUCAAUUAAACAAGAAUUUGCAUGUCUCAUAUGAUUCAUAAUCAAAAGAGUCACAGUCCAUCUUUAUGGAGUUUGGAAAUGCGUUUCUCAUUUAUGUGGCCUAACGACAAUGCCAAAGGUAAGUUGGAUUUAACUCAUUAUGUUUCAUCCUUUUAGUAUUAAUGUUAUAAAUAGGCAUUUUCAAGAUCAAUGACAUGUAGUCCAUUGUUCAUUGUGUGCAGUUGCAUAAGAAAUAUAUCAUUCAAAUAAAUUGAACAACAAUUGUUCUUUAUUAUGAAUGAAAAACCGAACUUGUCCAAACAAGAAAAGGAAAUAUAUUCCUGCUAAUUGCUGGUACAUAAUAACAGUUCUCUAACUAAAUUAUUAAACCACUAGGUAAAGUCAAUUCAUAAGUCCUACGGCAAGGCAGCAACCUUGCUCCAUUACCACUCGUAGGUCGACUUCACCUUUUGCCAAUUUUACAUCCUUUUUAGUUCUUGCACAUUUGUACAAAUGUGAGAACCGAUCCAGUAUCUAAUACCCAUGAUGCAGAAGUAGAUAAAUUAAUUUCAAUAACAAAAAUACCUGAAGUUGGAGUCUCUACUCCAUUCUUUCCUAUCUUCAGGAGUAACUUUAGGCAGUUCCUCUUCCAGUGUGCGGUCUUACCGCAAUGGAAGCAGGUGCCUUCCUUUUAUAUGCUUACACUAGGCUUCAAAGACAGCACUAGUGGGUUUUGGGUUUGGCAACUUCCUUGCCUUUCCCUUUAUCAUGUUGAGGACAAUCCCAUGUCUCGGUAACACCAGAAAAUUUGUCCUAGACAAUUUUUCCUUGUCAAGGUUUGAUCGCAAUAUGUUGUAAAGGUGUUUGUUGUUCAUGGUAAUCUACACAAGGAUUAAUGAAAAUAUAAGUAAUCAUUGACAUAUUUAUUAGGCCUUUAAUUAAAUAUGAUCCCAACUAUUUUACUCAAAACAAAUGACCUCAUCUAUUUGAUUCGGAAAAUCCCGUGGAAAGAUUUUCUAGUGGAUUGAGAUCCAUAUUUCACUUCGUUCUAAAGUCCGCGUAGGCGGAUUACACAAACUAGUUUUUUAGGUAGAGAACUCUCCAUGUAUCUCAUACAACUCUGCGAAAAUUUCAGUUGGGUGAAUAACUCCUUAUUCCAAUCCAUCAUAUGGAUCAUUCCACUCUUGCUUCUAAACAUAUAUAUAAUCUUAUUAAUUUGUUUAGUUUAAGUUUGACCCAUUGUUUUAACAGUUGGAUAUUAAAAUUAUCCCAUCGCACCUUACUAAUAUAUAGAUCAUGCACCUCGCGUAGGCAAAACCUACAUUAUCCAUUACUAGUCUUGAUGAGUGUUAAAACUUGGAAAGCAUAAACUUAAUAUUUAAUUUGAGGGAAUUGCAAUUUUUCUUGAUCUCACCGACUUGUUUAUCAUAAAACCGUCUCCACAUGCAUCAACAUACAUUCACAUGCAUCAAUAUACAUACAUACAUAAUGAAAACAGUUAUGGCCACCAAGCGCUCAAUUGUUUCUCACCAGCCAAUGAGAGAACCUAAAGCUAACCUACAACGAUCUAAGCUUCUCCAAGCAAGAUCUUCAAAGGUGUUCUCCUUUGCACUGACUUGCUUUCUUGAUAUCAUUAACUUACAUGAAAGAAACUCGUUUACAUACGAGGGAGUGAGAUGAGAAAAGAAGUUAACAUUUGGGAGAAUUAAGAGAGAAGCACGACACGCAGGUCGUAUUUAAAAACCCAAAACAAAACAAAGGAAAACUAAGGCCAUAACCGGAUCACAAACAAGACAAUAAUAAACACUUUAUUAAUUAUUAUUAAUUCCUUUAAUUAAUUAAAAUCAAAUUAAAUUUCGACGACCGAUCAUCACAUUUUAAUGAACAUAUCAUUUAAAAUCGAUGUCGCUUUUCGAUACAACACUUGACACUUUAAAGCACGUGAGUUAAGCCGAAUGGGUGAAAAUUUCCUUGCGUUAACCGGUUAACCAUAUGUGUUAACCGGUUAACACUGUUUGAAAUUAAAAAAAAUGUUUUCUGCCUUGCGUUAACCGGUUAACCAAAUGCGUUAACCGGUUAACACUGUUAAAAACUCAAAAAAAAAAAAUUAUUUCGCCUUGCGUUAACCGGUUAACCAUAUGCGUUAACCGGUUAACACUGUUCCAAAAAGUGUUUAGAAAGCACAACUCUUGUGCAGUCAAACCCCAAUCGCAUAACUCUCUGACAGCACAACCCUUGUGUCGUCACUAACCCUGAUGCACCAAUUUCAGACCUUCAAACACAUCUUGAUUGUUAAUUCAGUAUGAUUGAUCAACACGUCAUUGCUUCACCAUACUAAUGUCGGAUCAAGAAGCAAAUGACCAUUGAUCGCUCAAAGGAAAAUAAUCAUCGAGGGUUUGAAUGAACGAAACGAGAACACUAUAUCAUAUAUAAUGUAUUUUGCAUCAGGAUUACAUAUAUCACAUAUAUGUAACUUGAUAGAUCUCAAUUUAACCUUUGAUUCAUUCUGUCUUUAAUCAUAUUAUUACAGAACAAAAACAGUUAUCAGAUUCAUGGUUUCGUAAGUGGCUCUGAUACCACUGUAGGAGAAUUGCCAUCCAAGGCGCAGCGGAAUUUAAAAAUUUCUCCAUUUAGUGAUCCUUACGAAUGGGCAUGAUCAGUGAUAGAAUCGUUACCUCUUGUGGCGAUUCAAACCUUUGGUGCAGAUCUCUGAUAAUGAUCAAAACCUUUGAUACAGAUCCACGGGGCGAUCACGAACGUUGAACGAUGACAACGUCUCUACUCAGUCCACACGAACGGAUUCCUUCAAUCGCAGUGCUAGCUGUUAUGAAUGAAGGCUUUGAGUGAGAGAAAGAGGGAAACAAAAUUCCAAGUCUCUACUUGAAUUUCUGUCUGAGUGGAUUGCAGUGGAGUGACAAUGCUUCUACCCAAGGGGUUCUAUUUAUAGAACCACUUGUGUGGGCUUCAAGCCAAAAAGCCCACUUAAGUGCAUUUUGGCCCAUAUCUCAUAAUAUGCCAAAAUCACUUAAGUAUUUGGUACCUUACCAUAUUUCGUAUUCUACUUAAGUACACCGUACCUUACGAUGUUCCUUAAUUAUUCUAUCUCUCAUCAAUCCGUCCUUUGUGUGUGACCCUAUAGGUUUUCGCGACGUUGGCAAUUAUAUUAAAUCACGCAUUUAACAUAAUAAACAGUGAGCGGUAUCUAGCAACACAUCACUGCUACCCAAGUCACGAAAAUGUCAUGUGAUCUGACAAAACCUCCUGUGAUAAUAAUUAUGUGUAUAAUUACCCCUUUGCCCUUAUGUCUAUAUUGAACACAAGGUAUAGACCGUGUCACCCUUGUCCAGUUCAAUAUUGGGCCCAUAGACAUUUAUCCUGUUACGCAGGAUGGGCAAAUUCCAUCUAGGACACUCAUGUCCCUCAGCAUGCUUCGUGGAGUACCCAUCAACUGUCUUUAUGGUUAUCCAGUUACGGACAACGUUGGAUCAGCAAUAAAGCACUCGACUCUACAUCUAGGAUCCAUAGUGGUUUCAGGUCGAAGAGUGGUAUACACUAUUAUCACCAUGAGAAUAACUUAUGACACUUUGCAUAACUUUCUAUAUAGUAUUCUCAUAGCGGGUCAAUCCGGUAUAAAUAUUACUCCUAAUAUUCAUACCUAUGUUUAAGACUUGAUAACUCUUUAUCCAUGAUCCAUGAGAUGUGAUCAUCAGUCUACAAACAUAAUAGUCUUAAUGCUUUAAUGUUAUCCCACUUCACACUAAAGCUCGACUACGGAUACUUUAAGAAUAGUGCCCUUAUGUUUAAUGUGUUCUCAUGAUUAAGUCACACUUAAUACAUUAAACGGACUAUCUAUUCUAGGGACUUUAUUAAUCAACCAUAAUAAAGAAAAUGCCUUUUAUUAUUAAUAAAUAAUUCGAUACAAGUACCAAAAGUAUUGGCCUCUAGGGCUUACACCAACACCCCUCACAUCCAUGGUACUCCAUGGGAACCAUAUAGGAUGUUUGUGCUUGAAUGGAUGUUUUUUAUCAAAUGUUUUCUUGCCAAAGGAUUGCGGAGUGGAUAUUCGCCGAUUGUGAGACUCGGUAUUCUAUGCUUGAAAAGACUUGUUGCGCAUUGGCUUGGGAUGCUAAGCAUCUGCGUCAGUAUAUGUUGAAUAAUACCACUUGGUUGAUAUCCAAAAUGGAUCCAAUCAAGUAUAUUUUUGAGAAGCCUACUUUAACUGGGAGGAUUUCCCGUUGGCAGAUGUUGUUAUCAGAAUAUGAUAUUGAAUACUGAUCUCAGAAAGCAAUUAAAGGUAGUAUCUUGGCUGACCAUUUGGCUCACCAACCAAUUGAAGAUUAUCAGUCAGUGCAGUAUGACUUUCCUGAUGAAGAGAUCUUGUACUUGAAAAUGAAAGAUUAUGAUGAACCAUUGCCUUAAGAAGGGCCAGAACCUAGUUCCCGUUGGGGCAUGGUAUUUGAUGGAGUUGUUAAUCAGUAUGGUAAUGGCAUUGGGACAGUGAUUAUUACUCCUCAAUGCACUCAUUUUCUGUUUACAGUUAGAUUGACUUUCAAGUGUACAAAUAAUAUGGCUGAGUAUGAAUCUUGCAUUAUGGGGCUUGAAGAGGCCAUUUAUCUUAGGAUCAAGUAUUUAGACGUCUAUGGAGAUUCAGCUUUGGUUGUGAAUCAGAUCAAAGGUGAAUGGGAGACGAAUCAACCCGGUUUGAUACCAUAUAGAGACUAUGCCAAGAGGAUUUCAACUUUCUUUACAAAGGUUGAAUUUCAUCAUAUCCCUCGAGAUGAAAAUCGGAUGGCAGAUGCUCUUGCAACGUUGGCUUUAAUGAUCAUGGUGAAGUAUUGGAAUGAAGUUCCUAAUCUGACUGUGAUGCAUCUUGAUAGGCUAACUCAUGUGUUUGCUGUUGAAGAGAUCAAGGAUGAGAAGUCGUGGUAUUUUGAUAUCAAGUGUUUUCUCUAAAGUCAGAUUUACCCGUCGGGGGCAUCUUUGAAAGAUAAGAAGACUUUGAGAAGAUUGGCUGGCAACUUCUACCUGAAUGGUGAUGUGCUUUACAAGAGAAACUUCGAUAUGGUUUUUCUCAGAUGCAUGGAUAGACAUGAAGCAGACUUAUUGAUGACUGAAGUUCAUGAAGGUUCCUUUGGUACUCAUUCCAAUGGACAUGCUAUGUCUAAGAAGAUGUUGAGAGCAGGUUACUAUUGGUUGACAAUGGAAUCUGACUUUAUAAGUUUGUGAAGAAAUGCCAUAAGUGUCAAAUUUAUGCAGAGAAGAUUCAUGUUCCUCCGACACUGUUGAAUUUCAUUUCCUCCCCAUGGCCCUUCUCCAUGUGGGGAAUUGACAUGAUUGGCAUGAUUGAGCCCAAAGCUACGAACGAACAUCGUUUCAUUAUGGUGGCUAUUGACUACUUCACAAAGUGGGUUGAAGCGGCAUCGUAUACGAAUGUAACCAAGUAAGUUGUUGUGGGGUUUAUCAAGAAUCAGAUUAUAUGUCGAUAUGGUGUGCCAAGCAAGAUCGUUACUGACAAUGGAUCGAACUUGAAUAAUAAUAUGGUGGAAGCUCUUUGCAAAGACUUUAAAAUUGCACAUCAUAAUUCUUCUCCCUACAGAUCCAAGAUGAAUGGGGUUGUUGAAGCUGCAAACAAGCACAUCAAAAAGAUUAUUCAGAAGAUGGUUGUAGCAUACAAGGAUUGGCAUGAGAUGCUCCCAUUUGCUUUACAUGGGUAUCGUACAUUCAUCCUCACUUCAACAGGGGCAACCCCUUUCUCACUUGUUUAUGGCAUGGAAGUUGUGCUCCCGGUAGAGGUUGAGAUCCCAUCACUACGUGUUUUGAUGGAAGCCAAGUUAUCUAAGGAUGAAUGGUGUUAGACCAGGUUUGAUCAGCUAAAUUUGAUUGAAGAGAAGAGAUUAACGACCAUGUGUCACGAUCAGUUAUAUCAACAAAGAAUGAAGAAAGCAUUUGAUAAGAAGGUCAGACCUCGUGUAUUCAGAGAAGGUGAUCUUAUGCUCAAGAAGAUUCUAUCUUUCAAACCAGAUUCUAUGGGCAAAUGGACUCAUAAUUAUGAAGGUCCAUAUGUUGUUAAGAGAGCCUUUUCAGGAAGCGCUUUGAUUCUUACAACUAUGGAUGGUGAAGAGUUCACGCGUCCUGUGAAUGGUGAUGCAGUCAAGAAAUACUUCUCCUAAAAAGAAAAGAACAACUCACUAAGUUGAAAACCCGAAAGGGAGAUCCAGGCAAAAAUUAGAGACAUAAAAUAGAAAAUAAUCCUGAUAAAUUGAGUACCCCACCUUGGGGCAAUUUAUGCAAAAAUUAUGGAUUAUGGCAAGUAACUGCAAGCUGGUUGAUCUUCAGUUUUGAAGACUUUCUUGAGCACAAUGUUUGGUUCUGAUUCAUCUUCAGUCGAAGCCCAAAGCACAGUGGAUAUCAAAACCGGUAGAAGGAUUAGUGAUCAUUGUAUUUAAUGUAGCUCUUUUCCAUGUAAAUUACCAUUUUCCAACUUUUGUAAAGAUCUAUGGAGUCCUGUCAUUUACAAACUACCAUUCUAUUAAAUAAAGUUGAGCUUUUUAUCCAAUUGUUUCCACUCUUAUUUAUUUAGCUAAAUAGAAUUAAAUUUUAUUGUGAUCAUUUUGAAAUUAAAGUUUUAAAAUAAAAAUCAUGUUUCUUAAGUAAUAAAAGCAAUUUUAAAAAGCAGUCGAUUUUAGGGAUAUCCACAGCGGUCUGAGAACAGGUAAGCCCUAAAUGCGAAUCAUUGUUGGUUUUAUCCCCAAGCAGUUGGCAUGAUCUCUGUUUAUUCUCCAGCAUCAUUUCAGCAUCUCCAGCCGGGUUUCGUUGGUUUCCCUAGCUAAGUUUGUAAUUGCCUCCCUUGAGUUGUAGGCACGUUAUUUGCAGUAGUUUGCACAACUCGACAGAUUUUGGUUUCCCCUCAAGUCUCCAACAGCGUUGUCCAUGACCCCUGUUAGCCUCAAUUCUUGAGUGGUAUUCUUGAUCCUCAGUAAGGUUGUCUCCCAUUUGAUAUGGUGUUGACCUAAAAUUCCCCGCAGAGUUGAUAGUGCAGAUUUCCGAUAAAUCUUUUCCUUCACCCAGCCAGGGUUGAGCCUUUGGGAUGGAUGAUUCUUGUGGGUUCCUUUGCACCUUGUUCUCUCCAACAAUUGUUUCAUUCUUGUGAGGAUUGGUGGAGUACUGUAUUGAUGACGCAACCCAGUGACAUUUGUAUCCUUUGUGAUCGUUUUGUCAGCAUAAUCAUCAUAUAUGCAUAUACAUAUGCAUAUACAUUCAUAAAUUUUAUUACUACAUCAUAAUACACUUCGAGAUUUAUCGUUUCUCUGAUCCUCUGCUACAGUGGUAUACUUUUUCCCCCACACAGAUUUGGUUUGCCUUAAGCAGAAAGAAUUUAACCUUUCUCAUUCCCCACUGAGUUAUUCCUUCAUGGAUGAUUAUUAUUUCAGUUUCCUCCCCAGUUGAUAAUCUGGAUGAGACCACUCCCCUUGAGCUAUAUCCUCAUUGGGUUGAGUCUUUGAUUGGCCGUUUCUUUCUAGAUCCUACCUAGAUAGAUGCUUUUGGUCCCCUGAGAGUCUAUUACACAGUAACUGGUAAUAUUCUUCUCAAUUUGCAAGUAUUUCACUUUUUUCCCAAUACCCGACAAAAAUAACCCUUUUUUCUCCCCAGCGGAUUCGUUUUCACGUCUCCCAGAAAGUGUAUCCUUAAUAUGUUCAUCUUGAUCAAUGACGGAUACUCUUUCCCUUCUGAGUGUAUCCUUGAUAUGUUCAUCUUAAUCGAUGACAGAUACUCUUUCCCUUCUGAGUGUAUCCUUGAUAUGUUCAUCUUAACCGAUGACGGAUAUUCUCAUCUUGGUCUUCUACCCAGUAAUUGGUAGUUAUAAUCCCUAUUUUCUUUCCCCGGAGAGUUAAUCCUUGAUAUGUUCAUCCUAACCGACGAUGGGUUUCCUUCUCUUUACGGUCUUCUUCUCAGUAGUCGGUAGUUGUAAAUCCUGCUUCCCCUCGGAGUCUAUCCUUGAUAUGUUCACCUAACCGGUGACAGAUAUUCUCUUUUUUGGUAUUCUAUCCAAUAUCCGAUGGAUAUAAUUCCUACUUUUUCAGGCAGUUUAUCCUUGAUAUGUUCAUCUUAACCGGUGAGGGAUAUCCUUCAUAAUGUCCCCAGGUUAGUCUAUCAUUGAUAUGUUCAUCUUAACCGAUGACAAAUAUUUUUCCCUUUGAGUAUAUCCUUGAUAUGUUCACUUUAACCAGUGACGGGUAUUCUCUUUCUUUGCGGUCUUCUGCCCAGUAACCGGUAGUUGUAAAUCCUAUUUGGCUUUUCCUCAGCAGGUUAUUUUUACCCAGUAACUGGUAAUGAAUAUACCUCAUAUUUGCCCUCAGCGAGUCAUCCUUGAUAUGUUUACCCUAACCGAUAACGGAUGUCCUCCCUGUCAAAUUUUGUUAUACCCUUACCCAGUAACCGGUAAUGGAUAAUAUACUUCUGUUACUCCUGUGUUGAAGAUCAGUUCUUCCCCAGUUGAGUUUGAGCGUGUAUUUCCUCAAUGAAAUCGUUGUUUCCUGCUUGGGUCGAGUAUUUAGUUUUAUGUUGAUCUACCCGUUUCCCCUGCAGAUGUUCCUUUUAUUCCCCGGCGGAGUCCUUCCGUUGAUUUAUUCUCAUGGAAUCCCUCGUGUCCCCCAGCAGUUUUAAGUCGUAGCCUGGCCUACGCAUAACCCGUUUAUCCCUUAGAGUCUCUGUCUCCCCAGUGAGUUUUCCUUAUAGAAUGCAUUACGCUCCUACGGACUUUCAGUCUCUUCGGAUUCUUUUCCUUUGUGGCAAAUAUUUUCCCCACAUAGAUUAUUUUUGCAUUCAUAUCAUAUGCAUCAUGAGGUCUCUUAGGGACCAAAUUUUGUUUCUAUAUGUUAUUAUUUAAGUCCAUUCUACUGAGUCGAUACAAAAUUUUUAACCUUCAUCUCCUCAGCUAGAACGCUCUUAAAUAGGGCCAGCUGUAAGACCCCAAUUUUUACCCUAAGAUCCCUCAUGCUUUUCUCAUCAUAUGCAUUAGCAUUGGGAUCACACCUUGGCAUCCUCCUUACCCCUCAUUCACUAGGUUUUCAUUGGGAGAGAUCACCAAGCACAUUUGAUUGUAUCAUACUUCAUUUUUCUUUGUUUACUAACCAAAAUACCAAAAAUAUGUCAUUGUAUAGCUUAACUCUUUUGUAGGUAGUGCACAUGCUCACGUAUGUUCCAUCAAGCUCAUAUCUAGGGUUUAAGACUCUCAUUGCAAGGAGCUCAAUCAAGAAUUGGUUUACUAUGGCUCUAAGUAUCAUAUAUGAUCCUCCAUGAGUCCCAAAAGUCAAGAGAACAUCAAGCUAGCAAGUUGGUUCAUGGUGGUUGACCAGAGGAAUUCAACUAGUCAAAAUUGGGGUUCCCUAGACCCUAUCUCAUACAAUUUUUGUCAUAUGAAAAUAUUCCAAGAGCAAAGUUACUCUAAAUUACAUUCCAAACAACUUUUAUUUGAGGUAUAGAGCUAGUUUUGCUUGGAAUGCCAUUUUUUAUGGUGAAAGAUUAUAGGUCAUUUUGUCUAAACCCUAAUUUAGAGGUCAACUUCCCAAGACCAUAACUUGCUCAAUUUUUAUGAUAUGAAAGCUAUUCAAGUUGCAUGAUUAAACUCAAGAUGUCUACUUCAACUUUGAUGUUUGGAGGGAGUGCAAAUUCAACUUUUAAAUGCAUGUGAUAUGAGGAAACAUUAUAGGUCAUUUUGGGCCAAUACCAUUGAACAAGUGAUUUUCAUCAACUUCUAAAAUGCAUAACUCCUUCAUGCUAAAUCCAAAUGAGGUCAAAUUUAUGACUAAUCUGAAAGACUUUGAGAGAGCUACAACUUUGAGAAAGGAAACUUUCUCAUUUGAAGUCCAUAGAAAAAGUUACCCAAGGUGGAAAAAGUGAACAUAUGGCUUGGUACUUAGAAUUUUUUUUUUAUAUGUUUGGUUUUACAAACCUCCACCUCAAAAUUCAUCAUGAUCCAAGCUUCAAAUGAAAAAGUGUUCAACAUGAAAGUUGUUCUCCUUGAUCUAAACUUUCCUAAAAAGAAUGAAUGACUUGCACAUGACUUAAAGUUGAAGGACCAUUUGGAAGAUUUGAAGUUCCAUUUCUCACACACGAAUGCAUGGCCUUUCCAUAUGACUUCAGCAUUGCUUACACUCAUCUUUGGACCUAAAUGCACCAUUACAUGGGCAUGUCACACGCCCAUGCAUCCAUGCAAAUGAUAUUGCUAUUUUUGGAAUUUUGAAAGAAGUGUGCAAUUAUCAAUGACCUUGCCUAUAAAUAGAAGCCCUCUCACUCAGAAUUGAGGACCCUGGCGCGCAAGCUUUGAUUCAGCAACCCUAAACCCUCACAUUCAAAGGAAAAGCUUGGUGAUUUUCCUUGAAAAUCAAGUUUGAAAUCUCCCACUGUUUUGAGAUGCAAACUCCAAGAUUCAUUCUUCUUCCUUGAUCCAUUUCCACUCUAUUAAGCAUCUGAAGUAAGGCCAAGCACAAUUGAGAGCAAGAUCGUGUCCGUCUGAACCUGCAGUGAAGGUGAAUUUCUGAAUUUUUCAUCUCUUCGAUUCUCAUUCAAUUCUCCAUUACUCUUGUUGAUUUUUGGUUUUCUGAAGUCCUACCAAUGUAGGCAACAAGAUUGAGUUGCUUAAAGGUCAAAUCGAAGCAACUCAGAUCAUGAUCCUCAAAAUUCAACUCCCUGUAUCUUUCUAUAUACUUGGAGUUAGGUGAAACUGAGGCCAGAUUCGAGCUCCUGAGCAUUUUUACUUUAAACUCAUGUCCUCCUUUUUUAUUUUGGUGAUGGUUGAAGGUGGACCAGUCCGGUGAGGUCCACCGGAGAAGAAGACUGGAGCUCUGGCUUCGGCGAUGUGUUGGCAUGUCUCCAGACCACAUGAUCCUUCUAUUUUGUUUUAAUCUUGAGCGUCCAAAUUGAUUACCACGUGUGUGGAACAUCGACUAAGGUUCACCAUGGAUAGCGCGCUCUGAUCCACUUGAUCUGCCACCUCAAUUAAUGAGGGAGAUCAAGUGGUCCACGUUUUUUUUGUAUUUUCUGAUUUUCAUUUUAAUUGCUUUAUUUUCAUUAAUUCAUAUUAACUUUAAUAUUGAUCCAAAAAAUAUGGGACUUUCACAAAAAAAAAAAUCAAAUAUUUUUCUCUUUCAUUUUCUAAAUUAAAAUUAUUUUUUUGGAUCAAUAUUAAUAUUUUUCAUGAUUUAAUUGUUUUAUGAAUAUUUUUAAUUGUUUAAAAAUACUUUUAAGUUUCCAAAAUUUAUGAAAUUUUUUCUCCAAGGUCCUUUGACCUUGUUUGACCUAUGAUAAAUCUCUUGGUCAUUUAUUUGGUGUUUUGAAGAGGUUUUAGGAUUUUGAUCAACCAUAAUUUAUUUUAAUGCAUUUUUAAUUGAUUUUUAAUUGUUUAAUUGUGAAUAAAUUGUGUUGAGCUACUUUUGUUGACUUGUUGAGUUUGACUUUUAUUGUUGGGCAUUGGUCAAUGUUGAUUUGACUUUGUUGGAUUAAAAUAAUUGAAUUUAGGGGAUUGAUGAAAUGUACAUUUCAUCUCCCAAAAUGAAUGAAUGAUUUUAAUUUGAUAAAAGUCCUCCCAUGACCAAUUUGUGUUUGUUUCAUUUCCCCUCCCUCUUCAUCUUCAAUACCAUCCAUUUCAUUUGACCUAUGAUAUCUCUAUAUCCUAAGGCUAGUUGAUUGCAAAAUCAACAUAAGUAUGGAUGAGAUUAGGUCCACCCUGUUUCCAUUUUCUUUUAAGUGUGGUAUGUUUUAGGAGUAUGCUUCAUAAUACCAUAUCUCUAACAUGCAUUAACAUUAAAAUUUCUAUUGCCCGAUCUCAAAUAGUUUGACUUCUACAUAAGUCCAACUACGAUUGCUUAACAUAGCGCUAAAUUUUGACCCAAAAGCAUAGCAUUCUAGUAAGUGCGAUUGUAAGUCUCCCCCCUUUCAUGGUAUUGUGUGGAAACUUGGCCAUUUUCCUUCCUUUGGAAGAUGUCUUGGUUCAAGGAUCCAUGCUUGUGAAUAGAGGGUUGAGUGUUCUCCAAAGAAUGACUUAAAUAAUUGAAAGCAAAAGCAAUACUAACUUCUAAUCAACUAACAUUUGACUAACUUUUAAUUUCAAGUCAUUUACUUUAUGCACUUUAAAUUCAAGUCAUUUAUCAUUUACCAUUAUUCAUACCAUAUAACUUGUUUAUUUUAAUUCCAUUUUUAUUUUGCUCACUUGAGCCAUAUCUUGUGAUUAUACUUGUCUGUGUAUUUUGUUUGUGUUUGUGGUCUUUUGACCUUAAUGUACAUAAUAACAACAAAACCCCUAAAAAAGGAUUUGUGUGGACUGUUGGAUUUGAUCUGAGACUUUGGACUUAGAAUUAGGCAACAUUCCCUAUGCAAAAAGGACUUGACCAAUGCCAAUUUUUCUGAAGCCAGACAUUGUGAAGUGAACUUUCAUUUAAAGCAAGUAUUGAGUUCGCUUUUGAGUUCAUCUGCAACAUAGUCUUGAUACAGUUGUUACUUUGAAUCUGUGUCCAAUGCCCUAUUCUGAGCCAUUCAAGGAGUAUGUCAUAUGAUACGUGGGGAAGCUUAUGAAGAGGACUAUGGAGUUGCUAGCUUGGAUGUGGAUAUCUUUAUUUGAUGCCUUGAUCCUUCACCUUGCUAUUGUGUGUAUUGAUAUUGCUUUAUUCUAAAGUCCAAGGGAAAAUUGGGUUUCUAUAUGACAUUCUUGUCUAUUGGAUUGCAUCCCAUUGGUCAGAUCUUUUCAACUCUUAACUUUUAAUUUUUUGCUUAGGAUUAGUCUCUUCAUCUCCUCCCACUUCUUUAAUUUCUAAUCUCUCCCUCCUUUUAAAAUCUUCUUUGCUUGUGAUUUUUAAACUUAGACUUUAUUGCAAAUUAGAAACUUUGGCCUUAUGUCAUUGCAUUUUUAAACUUCUUUUUCUUAACCAAACUUGUAAAUGAACUUAACCAUACUUGACUUAAAAUUUCAAAAGACAAAAAGAAUUAACACUCAUUCAAAUUUUUUUAGGCCUUUUGUGCCUCUUUUAAACUUAAAAUUUUGUUAAAAAAUAACUCAUUCACUUUGAAAUUGUUACCACGGACUACGAGGUUUUGAUCCCUCAUUUUAUGUUGGUACGUACGCACAAGUCCGAAGGUCUUGUCAAACACAAAAAUAUAAUUAAUGAAUUCUUUUCUCAUCCUCACACUCUAUUUAUUGCAAACAUCUUUUAUACCAAAACACAUGUACACACAAAAAAGGGCUCCCUAGGAGUACCUAUGACACUUUGGGUGCUAACACCUUCCCUCUGUGUAACCAACCUCAUUACCUGUAAUCUCUGUCAUUUUAUUAGUUUUGAUUUGAAAACUUCUUAUCUUUGGGUUUUGUUCGUACUUUUCCCUUGGAAACAAUAAAAGCGUGGUGGCGACUCUAGUUUAAUUGACGUCAAGCUUAUCCAUAGCUCAAUGGUCAUGAUUUUACCACUACAGCUUGUACGUCGUUUACUGUUGUGUUGAGUUGAGUUAUGAUCGCCAUUUUGAACGUGUUUGGUACUGCAGCACUUCUGUCAUUGCAACGCGAUUUUCUGUUACGUUUGAUUGUAUUGGUUUUCACUGUGUUUCCGCUGUGUUUUAAUUGCUUAAUAUUGUCGUUCAUGCUAUUGAGUUUUACAGUUGCAGCUUCUCUUUUAGCUCGAUUGGCGCCCGUGGCUUAUGCAAAUUUCGUUUUUGUCGUCUUGGCUUGCAUUGGGAAUCGCAACUCGCAUUUUGGUUCACACUUCUGUAGCUGCUGUUGCAUUUUGAAUUUCAUCUUGCGUCGUCGUUUAAGUGUUGUUGGUUAUGGCUCGCAUUUGGAAGCUGAAUUUUCCGUUUUGCUUUGUCGUUUAUGCUUGUUCGCUUCCAUGUUGUUGCUGAUGUAGUACUUGCUGCAGGAUGCCAACUUGGAUAAUUGAUGUGUUCCCAAAGUGGAUAAUGACUUUGGAAAUGGUUAAUUAUGGGUAAUGGAUUUGGAAAUGGUUUUAAAUGGAUAUUGGACUUGGAUGGGUUUUAAAUGGAUAAAGGAUUUGGAAAUGGUUAAUUAUGAAAUUGGUUAAUUGGAUUAAAUGGAUUUGGAUUGUAUGUUAAAAUGGAUAUCAAUUAAUUGGAUUUUUGGAUUUGGAGUUAUGAAUAAAAAUGGAUUUGGAUUGGCUUAUGAAUUAGCAUGGCCCAUUAGUGAAAUUAAAAGAAAAUUCUAAUAACUAAAAUAAAAUGUCAAGAUUAACUUGUGACUAAAACAAUAUUUUCUAAAAUAAUCGGCUAAAGAAACAAUUAUGAGAUAUUUUCCAGACAUCAAACUAAAAUCUCCAAAGUCGACUUGAAUCUCAAGAACCAAAUUUUGAAUUAAAUCAAAUUUGAACCUUUAAAAUCCAUUCACAACUUCUAGAAUUAAUUCAAAACCGUUGAAAUGACUAUGGACCACGUGAUCAAGGAUUUAGAGGUUGACGGUUGACUUUGGUCAAAUGGUUGACCAAAAAAGUUAAUAGUUGACCAAAAGUCAACCCAGGUAAAAACACAUAUUUUCUUAUAAACAAACGAAUAUGGAUCACAACAUCCUGGACCAAUGACUUAUGUCAAUGCCAUGAAUCAAACCAGGUGAAUGUCCACCAAACAAUAGGUCAUGCACAAGAUCCUUGACUAGCAAGGUCAUGAAUCAGGAUUUCAACCCGUAUGAUGUGCAAUUCCAUAAACUUCAAUCCAACUCUGAUUUUAUCAACCACAAACCCUGAAUCCAUGAUACCUGUCAGCAGAUGUUAAUCAUGAAUGAAUGAAUGCACAUAAAUGAGCAUGAAUGAAGUUAGAUGGUUAUCAAGUUAUAGUCAGAUGAAAAAGCGAAAAGGAGGACAAAUUUUGGGAUAUGACACCUAGAACACUAGAAGUAGAUGCAGCAAAAAUGCUUAUCUUAAUGGUUUUGCUCAUGAAGACACAAGAGCCAAGCCAAAGAGUUGUCAACCUCAAGGGGUCCCCAUUGGAAAUCUCUUUUUGUUAUUUUUGUUUAACUGUAAUAAAAUAUGUAUCUUAUUAUAAUAUAGAAACUUAUUAUUAUAUAUUUUUUGAAAUAUUUUUUUAUUUGUUGUGAUGUAAAAGAUAAGUAAAAUAAAAUGUAACUUAUUUUUCUGAAUUAUAAUGUAGAAAAAUAUUUUAUUUCUUAUACAAAAUGUGAUUAUGCACUUGACUUACUUAAUUCAAAUUAGUAGAAUCAAGAGAAUAAAAAUAUCAUGACUAUAAUUAAUUUUAAUUCUUGGCUCAAUUUGAAAUUGCAAAUCAAAUAUUAUUAUUACUACCUCUAAUGACACAAUAAGAAACAAAAACAAAAACUUAGACUUGUAAAUCAAUUAAACUUUUUUGCUAAAACUUAGUAAAUAAAAAUCAAAACAAGACAAAAUCAAAUAGCAUUGUAACUUAUUUUGAAAUGCAAUGCAAAGCAAAGACAUAGCCCUAGUUAAUCAAAGCUAAAUCUUAAAAAUCACAAACUCUCUAAUUACUCAUGUUAUCAAACAUCCAAAGUAAUGCAUGAAGGUUCAUAAUAAACCUUAAACAAAUCAAUCUGACAAAGGUUAAGUGAAAAUCCAUUCCCGAUACUGAUUAUGGACAUGUAAUGAAUAGGCGAAUGCAGGAAGUGAUCAGAACAGAUAAAUAAAACAAAAUAAUUAUUAAUCCUGACUUAUGUAUGGGAAAUGAAAUCUUUAUGACCAGAUGAAACAGUUAUAAGGAAUCAGCUCAGAUAAUGAGAUGCAGAUGAAUGAAACAUAAAUGAAUUGUUGCAGAUGUAUGAAUGUCAAUGGAUGAAUGCAGAUGAAAUAGGUGGGACAAAAUUUAGGGUAUUACACAACCUUUAUCAUCCAUCUUAGUAUUUUAUUAUUUUUUAUUAGUAGCUAAUUGACUAGAUUAUGUUUUAUGAGAUGAACUUGUAAUGAACUUGUUGGAUCAUGUGUUUAAUUUGAUGUUAUUUGAAUUAUGGAAGUUAUAAUUUCUAUUUAAUUGUUCUUGUGCUUAAUGCUUAUUAUAUGUGAAAGAGCUAAAAAUUUGAUAUUAGAUUAGUAGGGAUCACUGACACUAAGCCUAUAAAUAUGAACUAGAGAAAUCGUUCUACUUUCUUCAAUUGAAUUGGAAUAGGAUACCACUAAUAGUAGCUUUUGAAUUAAUGUACCGUAACAACACCCAAUUUCACUCUUACCGACCGAAUAGAGAUAGAAAAUCACUAGUAGAAAUUAGUGAGUUGUACACCAAGGGAUUGUGUAGAAUGUUUUGUUAAUUUAUCGUAGGAUUAUAAUGAUAAUAUUCUUCACCUAAUGCACUAAACAAAACUAGGGGAACAAGGGAUUCGAGUAAAACCUAAUCGCUUUCUCGUUAUUAUAUUUAGGAUCAAUUUAUUUCUCGUAUUUUUAUCUUUGCAAAAUCAAUUUAAAAAUACCCCAUUGUUACUGUAUUUCACAUAUUUUUUACUUUGUUAAAUUUCAAUACGAUAUCUUUUAUUAUUAUUUCGAUUAAUCCAUACAUUUUCCAAAAAGUCAUCACUAAUCCCCCUUGAUAUGAUGAUGGUAUACAAAGAGUCUCUAUAUUUUGGGGAGUAAACUUUUUUUAAAUGUAAUCUUGUGUAUGUCACUUAAAAAUACAAUUAUUUAAAAAAAUACCACAUAAUAUAAUUUAAAAUAAGUAUUUAAAUGGGCCUUUCAAGGGUCUCAAGCGACUUCAUAUUGAGUCAAUGGUCCAACAAACAAAUUAAUUGCGGCAUUGAUUCUAAUCUAUAAGUAAACAUAAUCCAAAUUGAAAUAACAAUAGCUACAUUAAUUUAUUCAAAAUUUCACAAAAGGUCCUUUGCAUGCAUAAAUGUGGUCUGAUAAAGCAAGUACUUAAAAGAUCUCACUCCAAUGCCCUAAUUGACAUGGUCAGAUCUUAAGUACUCAGCCCAAAUGACUUGUUAGUGUACAAUUUUGCAAACUCAUUCAAAUUCCCAACCUAGAUAUUUUCUCUGUGCUUUCCACUAAUCUUGCUUUUCAUCACUCUGAAUUUGAGGAAGAGAAAGACAACAACUAAAGAGAGAGAAUUGUGUGUAUUUCUUCUUCGCCCGCUGGAUUCAUAUUUAUCUGAUUCUUAACACUAAUUUCCGAGUCUCGACUUAGUUUUAGUUCUAAGAAACUUGGUAAAUACUCUUUCUUUGAUACUUGAGGUUGGUGUUUGAAUUCUUGCAUUUGAUCCUUUUUAUCAUGCACCUAGUUUUAAAAAAAAAACAUUUCUUUAACUAAUGCAAUAUAUAACUAUACCAAAAGAAAACCUAUCUAAAUAGUAAUAAUAUCUUUAUAAGGUAUUAAACAUUGGAAGCUAGAAGAUCCAAUAAUAACUUAUUAGUGAAACAAUAAAUAUGAUGCAAACUAUGUUAUAAAAUAGCAUGCAAAAAAAAGGUAAUGUAAUUCUAUUACCUUAGUGAAGACAGGACUCCAUGAAAAAAGCUGUGCACUAUGAUCAUCUCGAAACAAGCUUUCAUGAUUUUCACUUCCUUGUAAUCGAGGAGGCCACUUCUUUUCUUCGGGUAGUAACUGAUUUAUUUGACUAGAAUUUAUAGGUCCAUUAUUAUUUCUUGUUAUUGCAUCUUUUACAUCAAAUAUAUGUGAACUUGUUUUAUAUAAAUCUUUGUCCCACAUUGAACUUGAUCUAAAGAUCACAUGAUUGUUGAAAAGACCACUUUGAUGAAACCUAUAAAUUAAGAAAAUAUUAAAUAAUGAUUUAUCAAAAUUAAUUUCAUGCAUGCUUUAAAUAAAUAUCCACUAAUAAUAACUAUAAAAAAUGAAAAAAAAAAUGAUUGUAAUUUUAGAUAAACUUUAAAAUGUAGAAAAAAAUUUUAAAAAAUCUAAAAAAAUACAACACCAAAUUAAAUUUUAUACUAUUUUUAGAUAAAUUUUAAAUGAAUAAAAAUUUUUAAAAAAAGAUUUUAUAAGAAUAAUAAAAAAUAAUUUAACUGUAAUAUUUUAUGAACACAAAAAUAAUACUAUAUAUAUAUUACCUUGAAGAGCUAUGAGCUUUGAUUUCAUUAUAUGGGUGCAAAUAGUUGUUAUUAUUAACACCAAAGUGUCCUUGAACAUUAAAUCUUCCAUACAUAUCCAAAAUAUGAUGAUGCUUUCCUUGCAUUUCCCUAUUUUUUUGGGAUAAAACUGAAAUAAAAUAAAAUGAAAAUAUAAUCAUGCAUUUAUGUAAAACCCUUGGAAACAUUAAAUAAUAAUGAACUUGCUAACAAAAUUAAGGCUCUGAAAUAUUUAUUUAAUUACCUUGGCCAGACUCAUCAAGUUUUUUACUCCUAUACAUCUGAACAUCCAGAAGAAAAAAAAACAUAACUAAAAUGAACAAUUAAUCAAAGAUAAAAAGUCAUUUCAACUUAUAAGUAUUUAACAUAAUUAAUUUCUAAUCAUGAAUAUAUUACCUGCAAAUGACUCUUCACAUGUGCAAUGCUAAGUCCUCUCACAUUCAUCAAUUGGAGAACCAACUUGGGUGUUGCUCCUAUACCAAAUAUUGUCAACAAAAUGUUAAUGAAAAUGCUCAAAAUAAAUAGUUUUUCUUAUGCAUCAAAGAAAUAUAAUAGUACUUCAAUUCAUAAAAACAAAGAAUCACACCAGAAAAAAAUAUUAUGUAAAUUUAUGUAUAUAAUCAAGAGUAAAGUGAGUGAAACUUACUUUCUUGGCCUCCAAGUCUUUCAACAGCAUGCACAAAAGAUAAAUGAAGAUCAGGAGUCCAUCGAAGCCUAGGCAUUUUCGACCUAACAUAUUGUCUUACGGUACUUCCUCGCCCUUUCCCUUCUUGAUCACUUGAAUUACGAUCAUUGCUACUCAAGUUCUCCUCUUGUGAUGAUAUCUCAUUGUUGUUGCUUAUCUCACCACAAUUAGGGCCUUCAUCACUUACAAGUUGUGUCACAUGAUCAUCAUCUCCAUCGUCGACCGCUUCUUCGUUUAAGUCGAAGAAGGAACGUUUUCUUCUAUUUGGCGAAGAGGGUUUUGUUCCGAUAUCGUUACUAUCUUCAUUUUUGACGACUUCAUUAGAUAUGUGAAUUCUCUCUGCCAUUUGUGUUCUAUUUUCUUCUUCUAUCAAAUUACUUUGAUGUUUUCUAGUAGACAUAAAAGUUGCAUCAAAUAUAGAAGUUUGCACUUGUUCAAUAUAAUUAUUGCAAUAUAUUGAACCAAGAUAUGUUUGCUAAAUAAAUGGGCAAAAACAACUGAAUUUUUUAAUAGUGACACGAGGUUAUGUUUUAGAAGGAUUCAUGUUUUGUUAAACUACAUUUGUACCAAAAAUUUAUUUAACAACAUGUGUGCUUAUUCCUAGGUCUUGGAAUUCCACACUCACCUAGCUAUCUACCUACAAUUUGAAAAUUGUUAAAUUGAAGAGUGUAUUAGACCUAAAGAAUACUCUCUUUCUAACAAAAAUAUGAACAAAAGUUAUAUAUCUAUCUACUUUUUUUUUCUUCUCAAUAAAAUUAAGUGACUUAUAUGUGAUCUAUAUAAAAAGUUUCAAUUCUUUCCAUGAAUGUUAAUUAAAGAUAUGCUUUUUGUUAUAGUGAAAAUUAAGUGUGUGAGUUGGGGGAUACUAUAGAAGAUGGAAAGAAAUGGUCUAAUUCUCACAUCCAUAAUUAGAUAAAAAAUCUCAAAGUUGAUUUUGAAGUUGUGAUUUGUAUAGAGAUUGAAGUAUGCUUGUAUUUUGUUAAAUAAAAAUUGUAUAUAUCUAAAUAUAUUCCAUGAAGAAAUUUAUGUUCUACUUUAUUUCUAAAUUUAUCAAGAAAACUAGAUCCAAAAAUAGUAAAAUUAAGACUUAAAAUCAAAUGCAAUUUUUUUUUUCCAAAAACAUCUUGAUGAGAGAGAGAGAGAGAGAGAGAGAGAGACAGAGAGGAAGAGAGAGGACGAGAGGAGAGAGAGAGAGAGAGAGAGAGAGAGAGAGAGAGAGAGAGAGAGAGAGAGAGAGAGAUAGAGAUGUACAAACCAUUGCUAAGGAUGAAGCUUAACAACUCUCUUCCAAGAUAGCUUCCUCAAACCACAUAUGAAUAUUAGAAAGAGAUCCUAUAUAUUAGCCAACCCUUGUUUCCAAGAUCCAAUAAAGCCAAUUAUUUCCUUGGAGAAUCAACUUUGCAAUUGACUUGAAGUAAAAGAAGGUAAACCUAACUCAUAUUUGUUGAUCCAAAUGUAUCUAUGGAUGAUGGAAGAAAGAAAAGGAAGAAGAAAAAAACCCUACUUGGUUAUAAGGUUUCUUUUCAUUUGUGUUUGAGCAAUGGAUGUAGCUAGCUGGUUUUGGAAUGUAAGGAAACUAAUUAAAGCUUGAAAUACCAUAGGCACAUCAAAUAUUCUCACAAAUGGUACUAUAUUCAAAUAUCAUAAAAUAUUCUAUAUGUAGAAGACAAUUGUCGGACAUUAAACCACUUGUAUAUUUAUAUUUCUAACUGAAUUCAUUUUCAUUAAUUGACUUAUAAUUUAACUAUUAUAUACACAAUACAAAUAUAAAUAAAUAAAACAGAAAUUAAUAUUUUAUCAAGCUAUCAUUAUUAAAUAAUAUAUUUACUACUAUUAUUAUUAUUUGAAAUGUGAAAUAGAAGAUAUUGAUUUAUAAAAGAUGUAGAAGUAUUAAUUAGAAGAUAUAAUCUAUAAAAAUUAAUCAAUGAUUUAAAAAUGUAAUUUAUUUUAGAAUAUUUUUGUUGUAAAUAAAUGGAUUAUUGUGGAAUGUAGAGAAUAUUAACUUUGAAAUAUUUGAUUUAGCAAGUAGCUAGCUAGGUAGCUAAGAAUUAACAACAAAAGAGAUCAAAUACACACGUAUGACCCUUAUCUUGGACUAUUGAGAAUCAUGUGAUUUUCUUAGCUUUUAUUUUAUCUUUUCAAAUUUUCUUUGACAACUUUUCUCUUUCUCCGUGAUAAUCUUUAUUCUUUACUAAUAGUAUUAGUUGACCUCUGUUACUGAUAGCUCCCAUUUAUUUUUAUUUAUAAAAAAAAACUAUCUUAAUUAUGCCAUUAUAUAUACUAUAAUUAUAUCAAAUUAGACCAAGACUUGUAAGUCCACAAAUACACAUCACCUUCACAACUUUUACUUUUGUAUCUCAAAUAAUGCAUGCGGAAAAGUUCUUUUCAUACUGUGAAAUGAUAAAUGAGGAUAUGAAGUCUCAUAAAUUUGUUUGAACGUAUGAGAAUAAUAUAUAUAUAUAUAUAUAUAUUAUAUAUAUAUAAUAUAUAUAUAUAAUAUAAUAAUAUAUAAUAUAUAUAUAUAUAUAUAUAUAUAUGGAUUUGUGAAGAUGGAUUUUACUAUGAAACACAUUUGAUUUACUGAUUACCUCGAAAAGUUCACGUCAGACUGUCUAACUUUUAUAAUAAGGGGGACAAGCGCAAUGAUAGGGGUAAAGAAAUGUACUAUUAAGGUUAUAACCAUUUGUCCUAUAUGCUUCUUUUAUCUCCAAAAUGAAUUACUCUAACUUUGAAUUAAAAAAAUGUUCAACGAGAAUAUGGUAAGAGUAAUAAAAGAGUAUUUUUCUGUUGACAUUAAUUGAGUAUCGAAUUUUUGUUUUAUAGUGAUUUUAGAUGUUGGUUAUUUAAGAAAUAUGUGGAAUAAUUAUUGAAGAAAAAUUAUAUUCUGAUGUCUCUUAGCCACUUCUAUUUAUAGAAGAUUUAGUAGAUGGAAAAAAUAAUAUUAUAAAAUUAUUUAGGUAGCAAAAAAACUGUACUAAAAAAUUUAUUUGGACAGAAAAACAAUAUAUUAUACAUUUUAGUAUGAAAAAAUAAAAAAUAUUAUGUAAUAGUAUAUAUUUAAUAUUAUUUUUUAAUUAAUAUUUAAUAUUUUUUAAAAAUAUUAUGUAAUAAUAUAUUUAUUUUAUUUAAAAAAUUAAUUAAUUAAUGUUAUAUUAAAUAUCAUUUUUUAAUUAAUAUUUAAUAUUAAAAAAUUAAUUUUAAUUAUUUAAAACUAAUUCAGAAAUUUAAAAUGAAAAAAAAACUCCAUCUUAGAUGGCGGACCCCAACUGGGUUUCUAGGGCGUCCGUCGUCCAAGAUAGAGGGUGCAAAAAAAUUAAUUAAAAAACUCCACAACAUGACAAAAAAAGUGGCAUUUAAGAAGAAAAAAAAUUAAGUGAAUAGCAUUUUGGGAAUUUAAUUUAAGGAAUGUGGCUCUAUAUCAAAUACUCUCUAGACAUUGGUUAUUUUUGUUUUAGAAAUUAUUUUUCAUUAUCUUUCGGUAAAUUUUAACUUUUAAAGAAAUAAUUGAAAAUUAUAUGACGUAUCUUCUUUUAAAGCAUAUGAUUGUAUUUAAGUCAUUGAAUUUACAUAUUUUCAUGAUUUGAUUUAGCUAUAGAACUCGUUAAGAAGUGUUAUUUGCAUUUGUAUGUGCUUUCUCAAAUAAAUUAAAAAUAUUUUUAUAUGUUGGUCUAUUCGUAUAGUUUUUAGGUCCACGUAUCAACCUUUGUCUUUUAGUCUAAUGGUUGAUAUUUGAAGUUGUUUCAACUUUCAUAGAGACAUUUGUUAAGCGUUUAAAAAUCAGAUUGUAUAACAGAGUUUUAUAAACAGAGUUUAGGUAGGAACUUUUUACUUUACAUGAGAUCCGUCUUUUGGACAGUUCUCCUUACACUAAAUUUAAAUUUUAGCAUAAUUACAUGAUAUACAUUAGAGAAAGCUGAUGUGAAUAAAGCAUGAUAUAUAUAAGACACAAACAAUAUAAAAUAAUAUAAAAUUGAUUUCUUAAAAGUGACAUAACAUGGUUUUGUUCUAAAAGAGUUUUUCUUUACAAAGAAAGUCAAUUGCAAAAAAAUCUAAAAUUGGGGCGUAAAAUGUAAAUUGUGCAAAAUAUUGGAGAGAUUACAACUGAUGUUUACGAUGAUUAAAUAGUCUUCAGUCCAUUAGGAUGGACAAUAAUUCGCAAUAAGGUCUUAACUUAUUAGUGUGUAAGAGGUAAAGAGUCAAAAAGCCAAAACAUGAAACAUCAAAAAAAAGCGAGAUGAUGUGAGUCAUUUGGGGCCAUUGCGGUCGUAAUGUCAUUAUGGGUUGGUUGUAAUGACCACUCCAUCGUGUCAAAACUUCAUUUAUAGAAAUCCAAAUUUUCCGAGGUCAUUACGACAGUAAUGCCCAUUACGGGCAGACUGUAAUGUCCUCUAGUUUGUGCUAAAAUCACUUCCUUCUUGCUAAUAUUUAUCGGCAUCUUCAAGCAUCUUUCUACUUUAGCUUUUCUUUCGUUUACACAUGGAUUUAAACCUUUGACUAUCUUUAAACUCCUAAAACAAAUUAGAAAGAAGAAAGUAGAAGUAACAUGGAAAAUAAAAUGAACUAAAAGUAGAAAAUAAAUUAUAUAUUCAAACGACUAAAAAUGAUACAAACACGACUUAUUAAACUCCUUAUGCUUGAAUCGUCGAUUGUACUCAAGCAAUUAAAUCACUUAGGAAAUAUAGGGACAAAUAAUUUUUUAUAAGAAAUAAGGUAUGCAUGUUUGGAAGUUCAUUCAAAAUCCACAGGGAAACUAAUCUAGGCCUUUAGUCUUUUAGGGUUAACUUAGCUCAAACAUUCUUUCAAAAAUAUUUUACUAAUUUCUUCCUCAAAGAUUAAAUUCCUUAACCAUAAACCUUUUAUUCAUAUUGAUUUUCAUUACGCAUACAAUCAUGAUUUCAAAAGGAAUUUUCCCUAUGAUAAUAUUUUAGAAAUUUGACUUUGUAAUGUACUUUUGAGCAUUUUACACAUAUAUCUCUCUUCUAUUUUAGAGCAUAAAUCAACUUUUAUAAAGAUAAUAGUUGUUAGAGUAAGAACAAUUGAUUAAAAACGAUUGACUAGUUUAAUAAAACUUAAUUGGAGGAUACUAGUUGCUAGAGUAAGAAGGAUUCACUAAAAAAAUUAACCUUAGAUUUUGCAUUCAUGUGGAAAUAUAUUUGUUUCAUACAAGUACACAUAUCUUUAUUCAACAAAUAUUCAACUUAAUUAAACAUAACACAUCAUACACAUAAAUUAAACUAAUGAAAAAUUGAAAAGCACGAAACUUCACUCAUGCAUAAAUCAUACAUUGUCCAUAAUGUAAAAGUAAUAGACAAAGAGAAGAAGAAGGAAAACUCACAAAAUCAUGGUUGAGAGAAUGAAAAGUGAAAGUGAGGGGGAAAUGAUGAGCUUUCAUGUUUAAAGGUGAGUUUGUUGAAUAUGAUAAGUGUUGCAUCUCAAAAUAUACGACACUCGCAAAGCAUGUCGCACGCUCGCGGAAUGACUAACAGAGACACCAUCGAUCUUUAUUUAUUCCCAAAAAAGGAAAAGGAAAAAUAUCGAUAAAAUCCCUAAAAGAACGACUAAGAUAUGGUUGUCACAACAAAAUCGAGUUCGGAAGUCGAUUACGCAAGGGGAAGGUAUUAGCACCCCUCACGUCUGUUGUACUCAACGGGAACCAUUUAGUUAGUUAUGCGCAUUAGUUUUAACUUUCGAAUAUUGGCUUCCUGAGUUAUUAAAAGGGAAAAAGAAUACGACUAAAAGGUGAAUUUUUUUAUUAAGGUGUUUGACGAGACUUUGAAUCCCGCUCCUACGUAUCUCUGGGUGCGAUGGAGAACUCAAGGCUACGUAGUUCUGGAUAGAAAAAGUUUGUUUGUGGAUCGAUUUUAGUAAGAGUUAUCAUUAAACAGAAAAUACUGCUUAUCCAAAACAGUUAGAGGAAGGGGGUUUGCAUCACAUUGAAUGGAUUUUUACAUAUCAAUAUUCACAGGAAAAUGUUUGUUAUCUCACUCACACAUUUGUGGACGAGGCGUUGUUUUUUCAUCGUUUCGAAACGAAACAUCAUUUUUUUGGAAAAUAUUUUGAAGGUUAUGCCAAGAGGAAAAAUGGUUUGGAUAAGUGGGAUUGAUUGUGUGGUGAGUAGUGAAGAAAACGAAUGAAGUUAUGUUUCAGAGUGUAUGAUCUAUGAAGUUUGGCAUGCGACUAUGAGAGAAAAUAUUUGUUUGAUGUGGAAGAAUGAUGGGAAAUGUGUAUGGUACAAAAUGAAGGGUGCUUGAAAUGGGGUUAUUGUGUAGUAUGUGAAGAUGAAUUAGUUUAUGUGGGAUGUGUGUAUUGAGAGUCGAUGGAAAAGGUUUAAAGUGAGAUGAUGAAGUUAUGGCCACUGUCCAGAAGAGUGAGGAAGGAGAUAUAUGAUUUUAUGUUUUCGUUGGUUUUCGUUCUUUCUUUUUAUGAGUUUUUGAUCUCAUCUUCAAAUAAAGAGAGAGUGACCAGUGAAGGGUAAGCACCGCUUUCUCUUGGUGUUGUGUAAUUAGUCUGAAUUUUUAUCUGCAUUCUCAAAUGGCCAGUCACUCUAUUUAUAUUUGAGGGUUAGGGUUUUAAUUUUAUUAAAAUGUCACAAUUUCCCCCUUAGUUAACUUAGGUGAUAAGAAAAAUUAAUUUUGAGAUUAAAUGGAUAAAAUUCACAAUUUUUUAAUAAAGACAUAAAAAUCAAAUAACUAUGUAUUUGUCUCUAUUUAUUUUUGUUUGACAUUUUGACAAAAAAUGAAAAUAAAAGGACAUAAAAUAAAUAAAAACCGGGGGCGAAAAUGCGCAAAAAAAUAAAAUGAACGCAUUAAAAUGAUCUACGCAAAAUAAAAUUCUAGAAAACAGACAAGUAAAGAUCAAAUUUUGCAAUAAAAAAUAUUUGUUUGAAAAGGCUUGAGGCUGAUCUAAAUGUGGCCGCAAAUGGAAUCGAAAAAAAUUAAAUGAGCAUGUUGGGUUAAACUACAUGAAUCGUAGGUCAAUAAAACUGACAAUUGCAAGCCCGGACUUUAAAUUUUUCGUCCGUUAAUUUUACGCGUAAUUGAAAAUUGAUCCAACUGAUAUGUCUAUAAAACCGAAAUUUUAGUUUGGUCGACUUUUAACGCAUUAUGCUAAAAGAAAUGCAUGUCAUGAUAUGCAGAUGAUGCAAAUUUCUUAUGAAUGCAUUAAUUUAUUGAUUUAGGGGCAAAUUUGGGUUAUGACAAUUUCCCUUAUUUAAGUAUCUUCGACUAGAGAAUAUGAAGAAGGUCACUCUUCAUAUGAUCACAGUGGAAGAUAGUUAAAUACUAAAGAACCGAAAAUUUUCCCGUUGAUGAAAUGAAAUAAAAUGAUAUGCUAUGAAUGUAUCGAAGACUCUUUUUUUUGUUUACUAGGGAUAUGAUAUGAUACAAGAUGAACCCUAGCAGGAUGUUUUAUGAAGGAUAACGAAUGAAAGGUGAACUAGUGGGGAUUGAUGGAGAUAUGUGAGCGGUGAUCCACAUGAAAUGAAAAGGAUGGAAAGGAUGAAAGACUCACUAGGGAUAACAAUUAUGCUGGAGAAAUUUACUGGGGAAUGUGUUAGACAGUGUUGGAUUUUACCUGUAGGAAUCAGUAAUAUAAAUUGGCUUCAAACGGAGGGUGUCAAACAACACUAGACUUUGGAAAAGCCAACAAAAUUGGAUUUUGGGGUCAAUGGAUAUAAAAUCAACAAUGAGACUUGGUCAAAGCAAAUGAACGCGAAUUACACUUCGAGCUAAGCAUGAUUUCAAAUUUUUCUUCUAUGCAUGAUAUAUGAACAAGACAAAUGGAAAUUAAGAUAGAUUGAAAACAAAGAUAGAUCGUCGUCAACACGAGUGUUGAUGCCUAGAUCAUUAAUAGUACAAAUCAUCUUUAACACGAGGGUUGAUUCCUAUAUCAUCAGUAGGACAAAUCGUCACCAACACGAGUGUUGAUGUCUAGAUCGUAAACCAUACAAAUCAUCGUAAACACGAGUGUUGAUGCUUAUAUCGUCAACAAGAAAAAUUCCUGUCAACACAAAUGUUGAUGCUUAGAUCGUUAACAAAGAAAGUCAACGUUAAUAUGAGUGUUGAUGCCUAAAUCGUCAACCAGAUGAAUCAUCGUCAACACGAAUGUUGAUACCUAGAUUGUCAACAAAUCUUUGUGGAAAUGCAGAUAAGCACGAAAUGCGUUUCGAGUGAUGCAUGAUCUAUGAUGUAUGAAUGAUCAAUGCAUGCAGUAUGUUCAUUGUGGGUUAUACAACUGAUGGUUGUGCCUUUGUGAGGUGACAAGCCAAAUCGGGAUUUUAUUGUUUGAUCUUUCAUGCUAUGGAGCUAUGGUCGAUGAAUGUGAUGAGAUGCAUGGCUUGAUUCUAGAGUUAAGCGACAUGAUUAAUGCAUGUGCAUUAUUUAUGCAAUGACUCGAAAGAUUCCAAAGAUGUCCUUGUUUGUGUAUUUGAUGGAAGGUCUUUUUGCAGCAAAGUUUUUUUGUCAAACAGUAGAGGGUUAUUGGAUGGGGUGCUAGGAUAAUUCCCUGGAACUUGUUUCAAACUCAACAGUUGUUGACGUAUGCCAGAGUUUGCUUGAAUAAAUUGAAGAGUAAUUUCCCUUAUUUGGCUCAUCUUGCCUCUUAUGUUGGUUCUUUGAAGAUGUUUUCCUUGAAAGGAGUUUGGAAGCAGUUUGUCACAACAUGACCUUAGGACAGUUUGCCACAAUGCUUGAAUCUUGCAGCAUUCUACUCUUGGUUAACCAAAUCUUGGAAUGGUAGACUUCCGAUUUACCGACCUUUGGAGAGUUGUAUUUAUUGUAUUCUUGAGGUAGCUUACCUUGGUGCUUGAAUCUUGUAACAUUCUACCCCUGAUUAACCAAUUCUUGGAAUGGUAGACUUCUGAUUGACCGAACUUUUGAGGGUUGGACACACAGUUCUCUUUGUGGUGGCUUGACCUAUUCUAAGUGCUGAAGUGAUUUUCUCUAUAAUAAAUGACUCUUGGGGUGAUUGGCUCAGAUUGACUGAUGCUCAAAGUGAUUUUCCCCUGACUGGACAUCUUUCACAUGAUCAAGCUCCUCAACGACUAUGCAUUGUUGGGAUUUGAUGACAGAUUGUCAUUAUAUGAUUUUUAUGAGUAUUUGUGAUGAAUUUGAUGGAACUUCAAGUUAAAGAUGAUCUAUAUAUGAAUGCAUAUGAAUAAAUGAAUCUAAACAGUUCCCUGAAAAUGAAAAUGAACAUAAACAUAAAAACAUGUUCACAUCAAGAUACAUUAAAAUAUGCAUCAUGCAUUUGUAGCGGUAAAUUCAUGAUCAUCAAGUUAUGGAUAAACUUAAUGUCAAUAAAACCAGAGUCGCCACCUUGCUUUUAUUGUUUCCAAAGAAAAAGGGAAAAGUACGAACAAAACCUAAAGGUAAGAAAUUUUCAAAUCAAAACAAAUAAAAUGCCAGAGAUUACAGGUAAGGGGGUUGGUUACACAGAGGGAAGGUGUUAGCACCCAAAGUAUCCUAGGUACUCCUAGGGAGCCCUUUUUAUGUGUGCGUGUGUGUUUGGUAUAAAAGAUGUUUGAGAAAAAUAGAGAGUGGGGAUGAGAAAAGAAUUCAUUGAUUAUAUUUUUGUGUUUGACAAGACCUUCGGACUUGUGCCUACGUACCAACAUAAAAAUGAGGGAUCAAAAUCUCGUAGUUCUUGGUAAAAAUUUCAAAGUUGGUGAAUUGUUUUAACAAAAGGUUUAAUAAGAAAAAGGCACAAAAAGGCCCAAGAAUUUGAAUGGAAUUGUUAGUUCUUUUGGUAUUUUGAAAUUUUAAGUCAAUAUGAUUAAGUUUAUUUACAAAUUUGUUUUAAGAAAGAAGUUUAAAAAUUCAAUGGCAUAAGGCCAAAGUUUCUAAUCAUUAAAACAAAGUCUAAGUUUGAAAUUACAAGCAAAUAAGGUUUUUGAAAAGAGAGAGAGAGAGAGAGAGAGAGAGAGAGAGAGAGAGAGAUUUAAAUUUAAGAAGUGGGAGGAGAUGAAGAGGAUAUCCUAAGCACAAAUUUAAAAGUUAAGAGUUGAAAAGAUCUGACCAAUGGGAUGCAAUCCAACAGACAAGAAUGUCAUAUAGAAACCCAUUUUCCUUUGGACUUUGAUCAAGCAAUGAGCAAUAUCCAGACAUCAUGAAGAUCAAGGCAUCAAAUAAAGAUAUCCAUAUCCAAGCAAGCAAUCCCAAAAGCUAGGAGACUUCUUUAUCUUCUCAUGUAUCAGAUGAAAUAUUCCUUGAUUAACUCAGAGCAAAGCAUCAGACACAAGACCAAAAUAACAAUUAAGCACAAAGGUAGAGUAGCAGAUGAAUUCAAACAAGAUCCAAGGCUUGCAUCAUAUGAAGGCUCGGUUCACAAUAGCUUGGUCUCAAAAUGUUGGCAUUGGCCAAGUCCUUUUGCACAUGUAAUGCUGCCUAAUUCUAAGUCCAAGAGCUCAGAUCAAGAUCAAUAGUCCACCCGAUGUUUUUUAGGAUUUUUGUUGUUAUUAGGUGUUUUAAGGUCCUAAGACCACAAACAAAGUCAAAACACAUAAACAAAUAAAUAUAAUCACAAGAUAUGGCUCAAAUGAGCAAAGUGAAAAUGACAUAAACAUAAACAAGUUAAAUGAAAUGUAAAUGGCAAUGAAUGAUAAAUGACUGAAAUUUAAAUUGCAUAAAGCAAAUGACUUGAAAGUAAAGCAAUAUUAACAAGAAUUAGUCAAAUGUUAGUCAAAAGCUAGUCAAGUGUUAGUGGUGAUUUUUAAUUGAUUAAGUCAUUCUUUGGAGAACAUUCAACCAUUCAUUCACAAGUAUGAAUCCUUAAACCAAGACAUCUUCUAUGAGAAGGGCUCCAACUUGGAUAAUUCAACAAGUAUGCCACUAGCUCUCAUGAAAGGAAAAAAGGUCAAGUCUCCACACAAUGCCAUGAAGAAUGAGAGACUUACAAUCUCACUUACUAGAAUGAUAUGUCUUUAGGGUCAAAUUUAGCUCUAUGUUAAGCAAUCGUAAUUGGACUUAUGUAGAAGUCACAACUAUCUGAGGUCGGGCAAUAAAAAUUUAGGUGUUAAUGCAUGUUAUAGGUUUGGUAUGAAGAACCAAACUCCUAAAACAUACCACACACUAAAAGAAAAGAUCAAGAGAAAGGGACAUAUCUCAGUCAUACUUGUAUUGGUUCAUCUGACACAAGGUCAUUGAUGAACCAAUUAGGCUUAAGAUAUUAGAGAUUUCAUUGUUCAAAUGAGGGAAUGGGAAAGAAUAGGGAUGAAGAUGAAGAGGGAGGGGAAAAUAGAAACACAAAUUGACCAAGGGAGGAUUUUCAUUAAAUCAAAACCAUUCAUUCAUUUUGGAAGAUGAAAUGUACAUUUCAUCAAUCCCCUAAAUCCAAUGGUUUUGAUCCAACCAAAGUUAAAUCAACCUUGACCAAGGCCCAAACAGAAAGUUAAACAUCAUAGGACCAUAAAAAUGGCUCAACAAUAUUUUUAAACAUUUAAUCAAUUAAAAAUCCAAUUAAAAGUGAAUUAAAAUACAUUUUAAUUUGGUCAAAACCUAAAAUCCCUACAAAACACCAAAUAAAUGUCCAAGGGAUUUAUCCUAGGUCAAACAAGGUCAAAGGUGUAAGAAUAAAAAUUGUUCUACAACAGAUUCCUUGAUUUUGAUGAUAACAAAGGAUGAAACCAAAAAUGGCACCCUAACGAAAAGUUUCUAAGUGUGCAGGAUUCUAAAGAAAGAAGGAAGAAAUCUGAAUGAUGUAUCAGAUACAAAACAAGAUCAGAUACAAAUAUCAAAUGAUCAGAAGCAUCUGAAGUGGAAACAAUGUCAAGAAGUUUAACUCUGAGCAAACAUCAAAGUAUCAGAAGCAUUGGACAAGUAGUAAGCUCUAGAAGUUUUGACUCUGAACAAAGUUUUGUCUAACCUCAGAAGCUCUUGGCACUAUCUGAAGAAUCCAUCAGAACUCACAAGAGAUUAAACAUCAGAAGCAAGAUUCCAAGAUUCUCCAGAUACACAAAUACUCUGAGCAUGGAAUUGCUAAUCAUGAAAGAGUACAUUUAAGUCAAGAAAAGAUUUGCAAAUGGAUUUCUAAUUGAGAAAGAGACGUUAAUCUCCAAUCUCAAUAAAAAUACUACUUGUGGUAAGUAGUCAUUUCAAGAAGAAAAAGUCAUCCUGCAGAAGCUAUUAUGUGAUGGCGUAACUUCAUCUCAAUAUCCCAGUUUCAACUACUACUUCAACGAAUAUAUAAAUGGCUGCAAAUCAACUUGAACAAUUAGCAAGCCAACAAGCCAAAAUUAUACUGAAACACCAAGUCAAGAAAAACACUCUUCUCUCUAAGAUCUUCACGAAGCUUUUGCUUAUAACGUGAAAACUCUUGUUCUUAACACUAGUAAUAUUUGCUUUCUUAGAAGCACUCUAGAUUACAUAAAUCUCAUUUAUUGUUUGUUGAUUUCCUCAAGUGACUUAGUGUAGUCUGUAACUUGAAGGACUAAGGAUUUUCUCUUAGGCGUUGUUUGUAAUCUUUCAAGAUUAGUGGAUUAAGUCCUUGUUGAAGGCGAAAAUCACCUUGGCCGGGUGGACUGGAGGUAGCUUUGUGUUAUAAGCGAACCAGUAUAAAAUCCUUGUGUGUUUUUCAUUUGAAAAGCGCUUUUUUUCCAAAACAAUUCAAACCCCCCUUUUUGUUUUUCUCACUUCAAUUGGUAUCAGAGCUCCGCUCUGUUAUUAUUUCUAAUCAAACACUUAACCGUGUAGAGAGAUCCAGUACGAGAAAAACAAUGUCCACUCAAAUGAAAGAGAUUCUUACAAUGCCAAGCCUUCCUGUUUUUGAUGGAGAGAAAUUUGACUACUGGAAAGAUAGAAUCGAAAGUUUCUUUCUGGCUUAUGAUGCUGACCUCUGGGACAUUGUCACAGAUGGAUACACACCUCCAGUCUUAAAUGGAGCUGAAGUCCCAGAAGUAAGUGUCAGAAGAUCAGAAAACGUGUUCUCAAAAUCACACAAGGCCAGAACAAUACUUCUAAAUGCUAUAUCAUACAACGAUAUGAAAAGAUCACCAACAGAGAGACAGCGAAAGAUAUCUUGACUCUCUGAAGAUGACCCAUGAAGGAAACUCCCAAGUCAAGGAGACGAAGGCAUCUGGCGCUAUCCAAAUAUGAAGCUUUCAAAAUGAAGAGUGAUGAAGCUAUAGAAGCUAUGUUUCCAGAUUUCAAACUCUUAUUGUAGGUCUUAAAGUGCUAGACAAAGGAUACACAACUGCAGAUCAUGUUAGAGAGAUAGUCAGAAGUCUGCCAAAGAAAUGGAGACACUAUGGUUACUGCUCUGAAGCUGUCAAAGGAUCUGAACAAUAUCAGCCUUGAAGAACUUGUUAGUUCUCUCAGAAGCCAUGAGAUAGAAAGAGGAGGAUGAGCCUCAGAAAAAGAACAAGUCCGUAGCGCUAAAGUCCAGAUCUGAAAGACGGAAACCUGACAGAACCAAAGCUCUCCAGGCAGAAACUGAAGAUACUGACGACUCUGAACCUGAAGACUCUGAUGAUGAAGAAGAGUUGUCCAUUGUUCUAACCGAAGGUUAAGCAACUCUGGAAAAAGAGGAACAACAACUUCAGAGACCAAGACCAGAGGGGAUCGAUCAGAGUCAACUUCAAAGGUAAAGCUAACAAAGAUAUUACCUGUUAUGAAUGUAAAGAAACAGGUCAUUACAGAAAUGAAUGCCCAAGUUGAAGAAAGACAACCCUAGAAAGAAAGCUUCAAGAAAAACACUUGCAGAACAAAGAAAGGACUGAUGGCUACCUGGGAUGAUAGUGAAUCUGGAUCAUCAGAAUCUGACUCUGAUGAACAGGCCAACGUAGCACUUAUGGCUACCACAUCAGGCAGCUCAGAUGAAGAAUCUGAAGAGGUAUUUUCUGAACUUUCUCGAUCUGACUUAGAAUCAUGUUUGUCAGAAACUCUUACCUCUUACCAGAAAUUAAAACAAAAGUUUAAAAAUAUUAAAGGCUGUCUUAAAGCAAAAUUUGAAGAGUGUAGUGAACUUGAGAUAACAAUUCUAUCACGAAGAGAUAAUCAAUCUUUAAUGUUAGAAAGAGAUGAAGCAAAAACAAAAAGCUCAGAAUUAGAAGAGCGUUGUCUCAGCACCACAAACUUCAAAUAAAAUUAUUUUAAAUAUGAAAGAAACCUUUCAAGAAUUUCUGAAGAAUGGGAUAUAUAGAGAUUAUGGCAUCCAUGAUUUAUGGAGUAAGUCAGAACAAUAAAAGGGGAAUUGGGUAUGAUCCUAAGGAAGAUAAAACUUCUACAAGUGAUCAAAUUAAAUCUCCUUUUUCAUAUCACUACACACACACACAGAACAACAAAUUAAAAAUGCUAGAAGACCAAAGUUAUAAGAAACUCUGGGAAAACUAAUCUAAAAGGACCCAAGAGAUUCUGGGUACCGAAAGAUAAGAUUAUCUAUGUUUGCAGAUAUCUAUGCAGCAAAGUUCAGACACAGUCAUGGUACCUGGACUCUGGAUGCUCGCGACACAUGACGGGAAGAAAGUCUAUGUUCCAAAGUCUGGAACUUAAGACGCUGGAUUUGUAGGUUUCGGAGGAGAUCAGAAAGGAAGGAUCAUGAGGUCCGGAACUAUUGGUAAUGGUUAUCUUCUCUAUAUCUGAUGUUCUUUAUGUAGAAGAUUAAUGCAUAACUUGUUAUCCAUAAGUCAAUUAAGUGAUAACGGUUAUGAUGUAAUCUUCAAUCAAAAAACAUGUAAAGCCAUUAAUCGAACGAUGGUUGUCCUUUUCACAGGCAAGAGGAAAACAACAUUUACAAAAUAAAUCUUUGAUUUAAAGAUCAAAAAUGUUAAAUGUCUAAUGUCAGUUCACGAAGAGCAAUGGGUAUGGCAUAGACGCUUGGGCCACAUUAGCAUGAGGAAACUUUCUCAGCUAACUAAACUCGAGUUAGUCAGAGCCUACCUAAACUGAAGUUUUCUUCAGAUGCUCUGUGUGAAGCUUGUAGAAAGGAAAAUUUUCAAAAACAUCUUUUAAAAGAAAAAUGUUGUUUCUACUCUAAGCCUCUGGAAAUUCUUCACAUUGACUAUUUGGUCCGGUGUGAAAACAAGAUCAGUUAAUGGAAAGAAGUAUGGACUAGUCAUUGUUGAUGAUUACAGUCGCUGGACAUGGGUAAAAUUCUAAAGCACAAGAGUGAGUCUCACUCUGUAUUACCAGUUUCUGUUCAGAAGUGCAAAAAGAAUUUGACUCUAAAUUGUAGAGUCAGAAGUGAUCAUGGUGGAGAAUUUGAAAACAAGAUUUUAGAAGAUUAUUUGAUUCUAAUGGAAUAUCCGAUGAUUUCCCCUGCCCUAGAACUCCACAAAAAAUGGAGUUGUAGGAGGAAGAAAGGCACUCAAGAGAUGGCCAGAACCAUGAUCAAUGAAACAUGUAGCAAAGCACUUCUUGGGCAGAAGCUGUAAAACAGCGUGUUAUAUUCAGAAUAGAAUCUCUAUAAGACCUAUUCUGGAAAAGACUCCCUUAUGAACUGUGCUAAAGGAAGAAAACCAAACAUUUCAUAUUUUCAUCCUUUUGGAGUGUCUUGUUUUAUCUUAAAUACUAAAGAACAUCUGAACAGUUUGAUUCCAAAGCACAGAAAGUAUUAUGUUAGGAUACUCAGAACGCUCUAAAGGCUAUAGAGUAUACAACAACCAAAAUUGUGGAAGAAUCAAUUCAUGUCAGAUUUGAUGAUAACUUGACCCCUGAAAAGUCAAAGCUAGUUGAAAAGUUUGCAGAUUUGGAAAUCACUCUUGUAGAAUUGAUAAAACUCCAGAAGCAACUGUACUCAAAGCUCUGAAGAAAUUAAAUCUCCAGAAAUCCCAAAGAAAGUCAAAAGUCGUAUCAAUGUAUCUGAAGAUUUGAUUCUGGGAAACCAAGGACGAAACCUGUAGAACAGAUCUACUCUUCAGAACCUCUGAAGAUAUUCCUCUGGGACUAGUGUCUCUGAUAGAGCCUAGUCCUUGUGAUGAAGCAUUCAGGAUAACGACUGGUGGCCAGCUAUGCAAGAAGAAUUGGUCAAUUCUCAAAGAAUGAUGGUCUGGGAUCUCGUUCCUAAACCCAGAGGCACUCACGUCAUUGGAACAGAUGGGUUUUCAGAAACAAGCUGAACGAGAAAGGAGAAAUUGUCAGAAACAAAGCUCGACUGGUCGUCAAGGUUACAGUCAACAAGAGGUAUUGACUAUAAUGAAACUUUGCUCCAGUCGCGAGGUUAGAAUCUAUUCGUCUUCUUGUAUCUUUUGCUAUAAUAUCUAUUAAAUUAUAUCAAAUGGAUGUCAAGAGUGCAUUUCUUAAUGUUAUAUUUCAGAAGAAGUGUAUGUCAAUCAACUCCAGGUUUUGAAAAUCAAACUUUCCAGAACAUGUUUUUAUACUUAAGAAAUCCUUAUGGACGUUAAACAAGCUCCCAGAGUGGUAUGAACGGAUUAAGCAAUUUUCUAUCUGGAACAAAAUUUUAUCAGAGGGAAGUUUGAUUUACACUCUUCUGUAAAUAAGCUUAAUAAUGAUCUCAUGAUUGCCAAAUUUAUGUUGAUGAUAUUAUUUUUGGUUACUGCUAAUAUCUUGUUGCCAAGAAUUUUCUAAUUAAUGCAGCCAGAAUUUUGAAUGAGUUUUAAUGGCAAGAAUUGAAAGUUCUUUCUGGUAAUGUCAAGAUUUAAUCGAAACUCCAGCAGUCACGUUACGUUCAUAAGCAAGUACAUAAAGACGUUCUAAAGAAGUUUGACAUGACUGAAUGCAAUCUGCAAAAACUCCCAGUGACAACUUGCAUUCUGGAGAAGAAAGGUAAGCAACAAGGGUUUGUCAGUAAGCUCUUAUCGAGUGUAUGAUUAGGCUCUCCCUCUAUCUGACUGCUACUCGUCCUGAUAUUCUCUUUGUGUGUCUUUGUGCCAGAUUCAACAGAUCCUAGAGAAUCUUCAUUUAACAGCAGUUAAAAGAUUCUUAAGUAUCUGAAAGGAACUCCUAACUGGGCCUCUGAUGUGUGAGUAAAACCUAGAGUUAUAGACCUCGGGUUAUUGUGAUGCAGAUUAAUGCAGAGAUAGAAAUAGAAGAAAAAGCACAUCUGGAAUUGUGCCUCGUUCUGGAACAAUCUAAUCUCCUGGCGUAUGCAAAAGACAGUCAACUAUUGCUCUACAAUCACUGGCAGAAGCAGAAUAACAGUCUCCAGCAUCACUGUGCCAAAACUCAGAUGCUCUGGGAUGAAGCUCCAGCUAGACAGAAUCUACAAAAUCUUUGAGAUAACAUUCCUAUCUUUGUGAUUGAAUAUGCUGCUAUUUUAAGUAGAAUCCAUUCAACAUUCCAGAGCAAACACAUAGAAAUAAAAACAUCAUUUAUCAGAACUAUUGUUCAGAAAGGGAUAGAAACAUUGAAAUUCAUUGAUACUGAACAUCAAUGGGCGAUAUCUUUACUAAGCCUCUAGCUGAAGAUAGAUUUCUUUUAUUUAAGAACAUCUGAACAUUAAAGAAUUGUCCUGAUGAAGUAUGGCUCUGGGAAAUGUAAUGAAUGUGAACUCUGAUGUAACAAAAUGUACUUUCUGGCCUACUACUCUGAAUACUUCUACACAAGUUAAGAAGAUAUCUGAGUAGAAAUCUUCAGGAUAGAAACCAAUCCUUUGGUAUUCGAUGAAGAUCAGAUACAUACAAGUGGAGCACCAACGUUAACCUCGAUUUAGACAGCUGUCAAAAGAAAUCAAAGGUCAGAACGUUUGAAAUCUCCUAGAGCAGUGUGCGUACUGUUGGGAUUAGACAUUCAUUAAUUAGCUGUAAUCAUUUCUCCCCCCAAGCGUGCUAUUGUGAUUUUUGUGCUAACGCUGGAAUGUGUGUCGUUUUGCAUGUUUUUUACUUAUAGUAUAUAAACACUUUUCUCACAUUUCACACACUUAUCACUCUCACUCACUCUAAAACCCUAAACCCUUCUCUCAAGCAUUCUCUGCAAGUUCCUCAAUCUUCAUCUUCUUCUUCACCAUGGACGCUCAACAACAAGAAGUCUUUAACUUUUCACAACAAAUGGAAUCAACUUCUACUGCUCAAACCUCAAACACUCAAACUCCAACGGUUACAGACGUCACCGUCACUCCUGUUUACAAAGAACCCCACGUUCUUGAUCGUGAACGCCAUAUCAACCUUUCAACUCCUUUUGAAGGUUUGGAUGUGUUGUGCGAAUCGCUUGUUGAUUUCGAAAACUUGAAGAGGAAUGGCGUUGAUCUAACUGGAGAACUUCGUCAACAAGGGUAGGAAAACUAUUUCCAAAGACUUUAUGGUCCUAUUUACCCACUUCUUGUCAAGGAGUUCUGGAGACAUGCUGAUGCAGAUGACAACUUCAUCGUCUCAUAUGUUCUGGGGGUGAAGAUUGUUAUUACUGAAGGGUCUAUUGCCUCCUUGUUGAACAUGGAGCGAAGUGGAGGAAAAAGGAUUUACAACAUCCCUCCUAGGUCAAAGCGCAUUACAGAUGUGAUAAACCCAACAAUCUUCAAACCCAACGUUGAAGGAAACCCCUCUAAGAACAAGGAGCUGCACCAGAACCUCAGAGUGUGGCUGAAGAUUAUUCUGGGAACAAUUCACCAUCGUCCAGCCUCUAACUCUUCUGAUUACAUCAAUGCAGACCAGAAAUGCAUUCUGUACUGUAUUCAGAAGGGUGUGAAGAUCUGCCUCCCUGCUCUCCUCUUCAGAUAUCUGAGAGAUUCGGUCAGAGAAACCAGAAACAAUAUGAAGCCCAGAUCCUACAUUCCUCUGGGAAGAUUGCUAUCUGACGUCUUCAUUGAGCAUGGACUGGUAGACGAGCUGGAAAAGACCAAGCUGAUGGAUGAUCUGGCAAUAGAUGUGGGGAAGCCUCUAAAUGCCAGAAACCUCAAGAGUAUGGGGAUAAUCAAGAAAAUUCAAGUUAGGCCAACUCUGGAUACAUCCUGGGAUAGCUUGAAAGAUCAGAGGAAGANGAAGCAAUCUUCGCUCCUCUAAUAUUCUACUGUAAGUCUGUUCCUCCUGUUACCUCAUAUCUCUGAUGGCUUCUUCUAACCCUCUCUCUUCAACAACCUAAUUUAUACACUCUGAUAUUUCACCCUCAAUCACCAGAACCUCCUAACCUACACCAGUUCUAAAUAUAGCCCGUACAUUCAUACCUCCCUCUGAACCUAAAAAACCCACCAAAGCACUUCAUCUUCAUCAUCCUCAGCACCAGAAUCACCCCCAUAUGUUUCCCCUCUCAUCUGACCCAGAAUUUUCUGAUCCUGAUUCCCCAACAUAGCCACCAAUUUAUGCUCAUAAGACUUGCUUCAACAACAACACAAACACAAUCUGAAGCAACUUCACCUCCACCACAACAAACAACCACCAUACCUUCUGAAAACCAACCUCUGACCAUCCCACUUCUGAUAUCAACCCACCAAACAUCUCCGCUGAACCAGAACCAGAAUCUGAACCUUUAGAUUUAAACCCUCUUUAUGCUUCAACCCAAACAUCUGAACUUCAACCAGAAGCAGAAUUCUGAACCUCAACCUGAGUCAGAAUCUGCACCUCAAAACCUUAAAUCUCAGCCCUCCAAACUCUCCACCUCAUACCUCUGAACCAGAACCUGAACCUGAACUUUCUAAGCCUACCCUUAAGGAAGCCAUCUUGAUGAUUGCGAGGCUUCGGUAUCAAAGUCGAUUCUCUGGUCACUAACUCUGAAAUCAGUGAUGAUCCUAAAUCUGUAAGGACACACUGGACAGAGUCAUUGGUGGAUGAAUUUAGGCUUUAGACUGAGGGCAUCUCUGAAAAGUCAGAAAUGGCUACAUCAGAGAUGCUGAGGCAAGACUCCAGGAGAGACUCGCCAGAGAAGCUGAAGCCAGAAGGCUUGAGGAAGAGAGAUUGUCAGAGAAGCAGAAGAAGCAAGAAGGAUAGAAGAAAAAGACUUGCUAAGGAAGCUGAAACCUAAGGCAAAAGGAAACUGAAAGCAAAAGGCUCUGGCAGAUGCAGAAGCUCAGCUGCUGCUGAAGCUUGAUGCUCAGAAGGCUCUGACUCUGGGGAGUCUCUUCUGUGAUUCCUACGGUUCUUCAGACUCUGAAAGAACUCAAGCAAGAUCAGAAUGAACUCCGGGCAGAAUGGACAAGCAAGAUACUGUCAACGAAAACAUCCAGGAGCAUGCUUGCAAUGUUGCUUCAGAGAAUGCCUCGCGCUCCGAACCUUAGGCACUUAGGAUUUAUUUUUUUUGGCUGCCUGUUGUCUUGUUUUUGCUAUCUCUCUGACUCUGAUGUUUUUCUUGUUGCCUUUUGUCUUCUAUCUAUGGAUUCCAGUUUUUCUCUUUUGAUUUAUUUUCUCUUUACUUAUUUCUACUAUGUCUUUUUGAUUCUGACAAAAAGGGGGAGAAGUAAUUAUUAGCCUCUGAUGAAAAUAUUGUCUAAAACCUUAAGCAUUCUGCAACAUUUUUUUAUAAACAAAAAUUAUCUACUAACUUGCACUUAAGAAAUUGCAGGAAAGUUUCAGAAACUCUGUACUUAAGAAACUCUGGUAAGAACUUCUGAACUCCUAGCAUUAUCUCAGGGGGAGCUUCUAUCUAUCUGAUCUGAUAUUUUAUAUUGUUUCAUUGCUAUUAAGGUUGUUUUUGUAUCAUCAAAAGGGGGAGAUUGUAAGAACAAAAAUUGUUCUACAACAGAUCUUGAUUUUGGAUGAUAACAAAGGAUGAAACCAAAAAUGCACCCUAACGAAAAGUUUCUAAGUGUGCAGGAUUCUAAGAAAAGAAGGAAGAAAUCUGAUGAUGUCAUCAAUACAAAACAAGAUCAGAUACAAAAUAUCAAAUGAUCAGAAGCAUCUGAAGUGAAACAAUGUCAAGAAGUUCUAACUCUGAGCAAAACAUCAAAGUAUCAGAAGCAUUUGGACAAGUAGUAAGCUCUAGAAGUUUUGACUCUGAACAAAGUUUUGUCUAACCUCAGAAGCUCUUGUGCAACUAUCUGAAGAAUCAUCAGAACUCACAAGAGAUUAAACAUAGAGCAAGUUCCAAGAUUCUCCAGAUACACAAAUACUCUGAGCAUGGAUUGUAAUCAUGAAAGAGUAACGUUUAAGUCAAGAAAGUUUGCAAAUGGAUUUCUAAUUGAGAAAGAGACGUUAAUCUCCAAUCUCAAAUAAAAAAUACUACUUGUGUAAGUAGUUCAUUUCAAGAAGAAAAAGUUCAUCUGCAGAAGCUAUUUAUGUGAUGGCGUAACUUCAUUCAAUAUCCACCAGUUUCAACUACUACUUUCAACGAAUAUAUAAAUAGGCUGCAAAUCACCUUGAACAAUUAGCAAGCAACAAGCCAAAAUUAUACUGAAACACCAGUCAAGAAAACACUCUUCUCUCUAAGAUCUUCAUGAAGCUUUUGUUAUAACGUGAAAAACUCUUGUUCUUAACACUGUAAUAUUUGCUUUCUUAGAAGCACUCUAGAUUACAUAAACUUUCAUUUAUUGUUUGUUGAUUUCCUCAAGUGACUAGUGUAGUCUGUAAACUUGAGAGGAUAAGAGAUUUUUUCUCUUAGGCGUUGUUUGUAAUCUUUCAAGUUAGUGGGAUUAAGUCCUUGUUGAAGGCGAAAUCACCUUGGCCGGGUGGACUGAAGUAGCUUUGUGUUAUAAGCGAACCAGUAUAAAAUCCUUGUGUGUUUUUUCAUUUUGAAAAGCGCUUAUUUUUCCAAACAAUUCAAACCCCCCUUUCUUGUUUUUCUCACCUUCAAAAGGACCUUAGACAAAAAAAUUCACUAUUUAAAAAGUCAGAAGUAUUUUUAAUUAAUUAAAAUAGCAUAUGCACAAAAACAUUUAAUUCAUGAAAAAUAUCAAAAUUAAUCCAAAAAAUAAUUUUAAUUCAGAAUAUGGAAGAGAAAAAUAUUUAAAGAUUUUUUGUGAAAGUCCCAUAUUUUUUGGAUAAAAAUGAAAUUUAUAUGAAUUAAAUAAAAUAAAGUCAUUAAAUAAAAAUUCAGAAAUUAAAAAGAAAUUGGAAAAAACGAGGGCCAUCAGAUCUCCCUCAUUAAUUGAGGUGGCAUAUCUGAAGGCAACACGCGCGCUAUCCUUGGUGGACUCAAGUCAACGUAAUGUAUGCGUGGUAAUUCAAACCAAAUGCUAGGAUUGGAUCAUUGGACCAGGAUCAGAUGGAUGUGAAGUUGCCAACACACCACCGGAGCUAGGGCUCUGAUCUUCUUCUUUGUUGGACCUCACCGAACUGGUCAACCAUCAACCACCACAAAAAUGAAAAACAAGGACAUGGAUUUAAAGGAAAAAUGCUCAGGAGCUCGAAUCUGGCCUCAAUUUUCUUCAAUUCCAAGUAUAUAAAAAGAUACAGGGAUUUGAAUUUUGAGGAUCAUGAACUGAGUUGCUUCGAUUUGACCUCAAAGCAACUCAAUCUUGUUGCCUACAUUGGUAGGACUUCAGCCAACCAAAAAAAGUUGCUUCGAUUUGACCUCAAAGCAACUCAAUCUUGUUGCCUACAUUGGUAGGACUUCAGCCAACCAAAAAUCAAAGAGAAUGGUGAAGAAUUGAGAGAGAAUCGAAGAGAUGAAGUUUCUGAAAAAUCACCUUUGAGGGAGCUUGAAUCUUGCUUGAUAUUGCUUCCAAUUGGCCUUGGGUUGACUUCAGAUGCUUGCAGGAAGUGAAUUGAAUCAAGGAAGGGCUUGGAUUCUUGGAGUUUCAACUUCAAAACUGAAGUGAAAUUGAAA
rnacentral:lncRNA from 1 species